AAAAAGGCUACUAGCAGCGCGGGUAAAAUGGCUACUAGCUGUGCGGGUACCCGCGCUACUAGUAUCGCGCUACAGCUAAUAGUUAGUAGUAGCGCGGGUGAAACCCACACUACUACCAACAUUUUAGUAGUAGCGCGGGUGCAACCCACGCUACUAGUAAUGAAAUAGUAGUAGCGCCUUAGGUUUUUUCCCACGCUACUACUAAAAAGUUAGUAGUAGCCUGGAUGCAAACCCACGCUAGCGCAUCUGGUGUUUUCCCAUGCUACUACUAACUAAUUAGGAAUUAAAAAAUAAAAUCCACCAAUUCCAUUCUAUGCAUACAAUUCCAACUAAAACAAACACAUAUUUGCAAUAAACCAGCAGCAUUACACAUCAUUACUAAUCCAAGAUUUAUAAUAAACCAGCGGCAUUAGAGCACAUCCUGUAAGAGCAUACAUAUUGUCAUGGCUUUUCAUGCCUUCAAUUAAAACACCUACACUUCUUGCCAAGUCGCUUACUCCCAGCUAGUGCAAACACAGUUACAAGCAAACCAAAAUGCAUAAAAACACCAAACAGUGGCAUCCUAUCUCUCCAAAUGAUCCGCUCCCUCUGCAUCCUUGCAAGCAUCUUCACGAUAAGCAAAUCCGCAGGAAAAAAGUCAACUUAGCAUGUACUCCCUCUGUCAACUAUCCAGAGUAGAUUUUAUCCAUUGCCCUGGCCAUGUUCAAGAAACACUAAAUUAAGAAUAUUUCUACUCUAAAUAUAGGAGGCAUCGGACAGAAAGCAGAAGAUGAGCAAUGUCAUAUGAGCAGAAUAAAAAGGAGUUUGGACCAUAGCAUGGUUAACAAUAAAAUAUAGAGAAAAGUAUGUUUUUGGUCCCUCAAGUUCCCACAAAGUAUAGGCUUGGUCCCUCAAGAUUUUUUGGUAUACAUUUGGUCCCUCAAGUCUCAAAACCGGAUAAGUUUGGUCCUAAACCAGAUUUUGAGUAUAUUGACCAGUUUUGACCGCCACAAAACCGCCCGAUGAACAAUAAAUUCGAAAAAAAAAACUUCAAAAAAAUCUGAAAUUUUUUGGGGUCGAAUAUGCUUACAUGCGCAAGAUGCGAACAAAAUUUCAGGCUCUUUCGGCACGCGAGGAGCUCGUGGCAAAAAGAAAACAAAAAUAUCUUCCUGAUGAAUAGUAAAUUCGAAAAAAAUCAAAACAAAAUAAAAAAAUUAUGAAAUUUUUUGGGGUCCAAUAUGCUUAAGUGCGCAAGGUGCGACGAAAAAUUUGUCCUGAAAUGAGAUCGGACGGGCUCUUGCAAAAAUUUUGUCAUUUUUUGAAGUUUUUUUUCAAAUUUACUAUUCAUCAGGCGGUUUUGUGGCGGUCAAACCCGGUCAACAUGCUCAAAAUCUGGUUUAGGACCAAGCUUAUCCGGUUUUGAGACUUGAGGGACCAAAUGUAUACCAAAAUUUUUUGAGGGAUCAUGUCUAUACUUUGUGGGAACUUGAGGGACCAAAAACAUACUUUUCUCUAAAAUAUAGUGCUCUAACAAAAGCAAGAGUGCAACACGUUGCCCUGUUCCCCUUUCAAAUAUCAACACACUAAAAAAGGCAAUAAACGCAAACAUAUAAUUUUGGACUACAGCAACAAUCAGUUGCAGAAAGUCAGGAAGAUUAUAUUGUUAAAGUAUUCCAUUUUCAGAUGUUAGAACAGGAUAUUGCAAAAGCAAAAUAUAUGAAGAUCAAAUACUGAAGCAGCUACAAUGCCCUAAUUGGCCUUUUACAGCAGGUGAGAAGCACGCACUAAAACAUUAACAGCCAAGCACAUCAUAUCUUUUGAAACUACCUAAAUGGCACGGCAACAACACUUCCUUUUAAAUAGUUUGAGAAGACAUGCAUUUAAUGGCAGCCACAACAGUAUGCAUCUAGAUGCCCCUUUAACAUAACAUAAUUCUAGAUAUAGUGCAUGCACAAGAAGAGUACGCGCAAGUACGACCGCUCUGAACGAGCUGCUGAUGAUGAAAAGGAGACCACCAAAGGCUUUAAGAAACAUGGUAAAGGCAAUGACAGAAUUGAUCUGUAAACAAACAGAACAAAAGCCAUAAAAAACAGGAACUAGGUGAAUGGUUGUCCUCCAUCGGUUCCAAACUCACUGAACCUGCAUGUACAUUGGAAGAACCAAGCAGAAAAUCGGCAAUUAGAGAGCGAUACUUGAUCUGUACAGCAGCUCAGAAGCAUAACAGGGCUAGCAUAAGAACCAACACAACACUUUCUGUACUACUACCAGAUAAAAACUGAAAUUCAAACAAUAACAUAGCCCUUGAUAUGGAAACAGUUCUGCAGGUAUAUACCAAUAAAAUGAGGUUAAAUGAGAACCAACGGCAGAACGCCCAAAAAGGCCAAAUGGUGAAGCUAGAAUGCGCCAUUGGUGUCUGUACGGCCAGCUCGGAAGCAUAGCACGGCUAACAACACUUAACUUAGAAAAUCCGGCAUUCAAAUGCUCUGAACGAGCGACACAACACUUGAUGUACCAUACCAUAGAAAAUCCAGCAUUCAAACCUAACUUAGCCCUUGGUAUCGAACCAAAAACGCCAGCAGGGUGAAGCUAGCUAGCCAAUUAGGCAGCAAAUGAUAAGCCCGGAUGUCCGCAGGUAAACUAUGCAUUCUGAAAGAGACACAGAUUUAUCUAAGCUAAGCUAAGCUAAGCUCGUGAUGUUACGAUCAUACAUAGGGAGCCAUUUCAGUUGUCACAUGAACCUCUCAAUAAGUAGACGGCCUAAGGUACUAGCAAAGCACUGUUGUGCUGUCCACAGAUUUAUCUGAACCUAUGCGACGGCUACACGGAAUCUCAAUGUGAAGUUGCGCUGGCAGACGGAUAAAGAUGUCGACGCCGCUCGGUCAGAACAAGUUAACAGAGUGAAGUAGUGCAGGGCAAUAUUGAUUAAUUGGUGAAAAGACGGUAAAGAUCAAUUGUAAAUUGCCCAUGGUCUGCUGGUAAUGGAUGGAUGGUUUACGAUGACGGUGCCGCAUCGAGCAUAGCAUCGAUCGACGGAGCAAGCAGUUAACCACUAGGCCCCAAGUGUCCUAAAGGAAAGGAUCCUACUCGUCUCCCAGCUGCCAAGUUCCAUGGGGAUUUAGUUCAGACUUCAGACCAGCCGUCUGUCUACAGCCUGUGGUCGAAAUUAAAAUCAAUUAGUGAUGCAGGCUUUAAAUACGAUGCAGGCUUUAAAAACGCCCACUUGCAGCCAUUUGAGACAGCGUGCACUGGCAUUACAAAACGCCGACUUGCAGGCACGUCUGGUGCAUCACGUGAGUAGUGACCCAAUACAAGGGUGGGAAAAGUGAUUCGUUUUUCAUUUUCGUCAGUCAUGACACGGGGUUCACGGCCUUGACAUUUACAAGCGUGUUACCAAUGCCUUGCCAUCUGCAUCAGCACCCAGUUGGUGGCACUUAUUCACAAGUUGUGCAGUGAAUCCAUUGCAUCAUUUGUUGAGUAACAUCAACGUUCCAUCCACUUGGAUUCAGCAUAUUUGCAAUUGAAUCUAACGCCCCAAUUCUCUUCUCUUCCACUCUAAAAUGUACUGAGAUACAUUUUAGCCGGAUGUUCACAAGAAGAAUGUUUAACCUCGCCACCGGCGACAGCCGUCUGAGACGGGGUGCUGUGCCAUUACAAAACGUCCAGUUGCAGGCAGGAAGGCAGAAGGAUAAUCUUGUUUCAGAUACUACGUUUGAUGCAUCGUGCAAGCAGUCACAUGGUUUUCAUCCAGGACGAGGAAGGAAGUGUUCAAUUUUUCAGUUUCGUCGGUCAUGGCAUUUGCUUUUUGCGUUCAACCAUGCCAUCCCGGUGCUGCCUGUAAAUGUAUUGAACCAUUUGCAAGUUUCGUUUUGAGCUACGUACCAAUUAUACAUUCAUACAGACUAGCACAUCUCCAAAAAACAGAGAGCAAACAAGUUCUAAUAGAGGAUGCAGAAACAGAUUUGAAGAGAGCGGGCAGCAAGUGAAGGGGAAGGGGAAGGAGUGGGUACCUACAUAUUCCAACAGAGGCUGGGAUGGGGUCUUGGAGGCCGACAUCGCCGUCGUUGUUGCCCGCCGCUGCGCUGAGCCUGCUACGCCGGAGGUCGCCGUCGCCAUAGACGGAAGGAGGGACGGACGACAAGCAGCGGUGGUGGUGAGGUGGGAGACUCGCUGCGCCACUGCCAUCAGCCGCAGCACGAGGCGGCCGGUCUUGGAGGAAGGUGGCACCAUGUAGUUGCCCGUCGAGGCCGCCGCGGCAAACACCGCCCUACCCCUCCUCCGCCGCUCCGGCGCCACGGCCACGCACACGCGGCUACGGCGGGAGCCGCGGCGAGGAGGCGAGGGUCCGCGCGAGGGAUGGCGCAGACACGCUUAGUAAUAGCCCGGGGAAUUACCUGCGCUAUAGCCACUUAAUUAGUAGCAGCGCGGGUUUAUACCCCUCGCUACUACUAUCAACUUAGUAGUAGCGCGGGUUUUAUACCCCUCGCUACUACUAAUUAGUAGUAGCCCCUCUUUUUAGACCGCGCUACUAAUAAACUUCUGUGUAUAAGGUUUUUCCUAAUAGUGUUAUUAUGCCAUAAAAAUUCUCUCACAAUCAAUAUUUCGACAAUUUAGUAAAGAAAAUUACUACAUCAACCUUAAAAUUUGGAAAAAAUAUUUUAAAAAAAACAUAAUUAAUAGUAAAACCUAAAGUGUUAAGAUAUAACCUGUUACACCUUUCCAUCUAUCAAUGGAAUAAAAAAACUGCAUUAACCUUAAAUUUUGGAGUAGUAUAUUAAAAAAAGAAACACAAUUAAUUGCAACAGAAACCUAAAUUGUUAACAAAUCACCUGACACACCUUUCCAUCUAUCAAUCAAUGAAAUAUAAAAGGAUAGGUACACUUCGGUUUUUUAGGAUAACUUACUUAUCUAUUUAUUCAAAAAACUCGGACAUCCCCGAGGCAACGAUCUGCAAAAUACAGUCUGGUGGAUUAUCAGUCCACACAUUGUUUAGUUCCCUACAACCUCUCGAGCUAACCCAUGAGCAGCUCCAUUAACGGAAUGGCGCGCCAAGCUAAUCUUUGUAUCUUGAAAGUUUGUAAGCGUGCCCACCAACGGCUGCUAGGUUCUUCUCCCUGGCGUUCAGCGUGCCCACCACCGUUAUCCAACUCAACAUGCAGCUUCUGCACAUGCAACUCCGCAGCUAGUUGAACUCCCAUUCUGCAUGCAAGGAUUUCUGAAAACUCUGACAGACUCGAAACGGUGGCAGCCCGCCCCUCGGAAUGCACCUGUGCGAUCCCUGGACAUCUUGCAAUUUGCACAUACAUGCAUGACAUAUCUCAGUAAUUUGAAAUGAGCCCAGUUUCAUUGAACCGAUGCUUGGCGCAAGGGGCGCAAGAAGCAACGAAUCCCCAUCCGACUUCCCUACUUCCAGAUCGAGAGAAUACAGAAGAACUAAAAAAAAGCACGAAGUUCAUGGCAUAUAGAAAAUUAACAAGUCGAUAUGGAGGAGGCGGAGCUUGGCCUGCCACUACGCUCGAGCUAGCAGGGAUGGCCAAGGUCAAACCACCACGGCACCACCGUCGUGGGCAUCCUUUUGCCGCCAUAGCUGACGCUCCACCCCCGCCUCGUCUGCUCCUUUCUCUCCUUCCUCACAUCUCUCCCUGUCAAAUCUCUCUCUUCUGUCCCUCUACAGGAACCAGAGAACGCCGCCGCCAUUGGCGACCAUGAAGCUCAGUGCCGCGUCACACCUCUCCCUCAAUUCCCUUUUUCUUGACCCCGAUGAACAGCGCAUGCAUGAACUCAUAGCCAGCUUCUGGGUACGUGCAAGUUUUCCACGUAUAUAAAAUUAUAAACUGGUGUUGUUGAAUAUAAAAGAUCGAGAUGGGACUAUUCAUAACAGACAGAACCCCAUUAUAUAAUACACAAACGUGCUUUAGCUCAAUUGGUACAUAGAUUAGUACCACCUCGGUUAGAGAAAAUAUAAAUCGUAAAAGCGUAUUACAACUGGACGGAAGCGUAUUAUGACAGUGAACCCACGGAGUCAAUCUGUGCUUUAUUAUUACUAGCACAAAUGUCCGUGCGUUGCAACGGAAGCUGUGCUUUGACUUUUGGUUAAAAAACGGAUUUCAGCUAAAUUUUGGCCAUUUUCUCCUGGGACGGAAAGUACCGAAACCUUUCGGCCGAAAAAUAUAUAUUUUGGUGAAAUUUCGGCCACAUCGCUUCGCGAGUCUCCCUUCCCCCAACUUAUAGUUCAUGGGCCUGUAAUGCUCCUAGUAUUAAUUGAUAUUUCAAAUGGGCAAGCACAAUCAUAAAUCUAAGCUCUUAAAGAAAUAACUCAUUAAUUAAUAUACAAAUACAACAUAAAAAUGUCAAAUAUUUCAGCCGCAUUUCUAUUUUCUUUCCCUCCAAAGCAACGUUCGUAUAAAUAUUCAAACGACAAUCAAACUUCCUUCUUAUUUAAGUAGCCUUACACAAUCCUUCCUUUUUAAGGAUAUGACCCGUUUGAAUCCUUCCUUAUUUCUUGAUCACACAAUCCUCCUUCCUUUUAACUAUUAUUAUUUUGGCUAAAUUUUGGCCAUUUUGGCCUGGGGCGAAAAGUACCUUUUAACUGAAAAAUAUAUAUAUUUGUCAAAUUUCGGCCACACCGCUUCGCGGGUCUCCCUUCCCCACAACUUAUAAUUCAUGGACUUGUAAUGCUCCCAUGCGUUGUAACGGGAGAAAACCAAAAAAUAAUGGGAUACAGAGCCGGCUUUGUGGUAGGGUUUAGUGCUUUCAUGGAAGGCCACCAUCGAGAUGGGCCGUUGCUAAGGAGGAGCUUAACUUAGGCAAGCAGUGAUUACAGUUGAGAAGGGCGAACCCGAGGGAGGUCAAUGGCACGGUUGCAAGCAGUGGCAACAAAGUUGUUCAACUAUCAUCAACCCAGGCAACAACAUGCUCAAAAUUUUCAAGACUACUAUUUUUGUACCGAGUGAAUUUAUAUGUAUCGUAGUCAGGAAUAAUAAAGUUCAAGAAUAUAUAUAAUACUGACAAAAUAACAAACAUACAACGUCCAAAAGAUACAUUGGUACCUGACAAAGUGACGAUCAUCAUGAUAAUCAAAAUAACAAACAUAUUGUUUCUCGUACAGGUUACUGAUCUAUUAAGAUCAUCAUACCGUAGAGAAAGAAAUCUGUGUACCGGAUCAUCUUGAGAUGCAAACAAUAUAUGCUAGCACCUGUUAGAGACACCUGAGUAUCCAUUUUCCCAGUAUCGAUACUUCAUUCGUUUCUAUUCGAUGCCGAUAGUCACAAAACAGUUUCUUCCUGCGGUUAACUGCUUAAAAAAGCAAUAUCGUUCCAUCUCAUUAGUUGAAGCUUAUUAACGACUCCUAGUAUGAGAGACCAAAUAUCAAACUGGGCAGGAGCUGUAUAAACAUCUACUUUAGACGAUCAUGUGCAUAUACAUACCUGAAGACGUGAACUCAUGCCCCUGGUUGUUGGCUUGAAAGAUCGUCACUUUCCUACAAUCACCAAAUAGGAUUAACCGGUGUCCACGAUGGUCGGCUAGGUUUGUACGUAUGAGUUUUUCAUGUGUAUGUAUGAGCUGGGGAUGACAAAGGAGACGACGGCGCCGCCGCCGCUACUCCUGCAGCUUGUCGAUGACCUGGAGCAGGAUGGGGCGGAACCUGUGAGGUUCACCUUCACGUCCUGCUUCAUGAUGGUCUCGGCGAGCGCCUGCCACCCCUGCUUGUGCAGCGCCUUGGGGUCGCUGAACACCAGGUGCUCCCUCGGGUACUUGUCCUUGAGGCUCGUCUCCUCCUCGUCGACAUAGUACUCCACGAGUCCACGUACCGGAGCUGCAUGUCCCGCGCCGGCUGCCCGUAGAAGUUGGUGGCCAUCCAGUCCAUGUUCCCCCAUGGCACGAUCUGCAGCACCACCGCCUGCGUCGGCUGGAUGAUCUGGUUCGUCAGCCCGGCCCCGUGCACCGCCAGCAGCACGUCCGCCGCGUUCACCAGCGCCGCGAACGCCGCCACGUCCGCCCCCGCCUCCGCCACCGUCACGUUGAACCCGAGCUCGGUCGCCGCCGCCGCCACCUCCUCCAGGUUCAGCAGCUUCCGCGUGCCCCCGCGGGAGAUGAUCAGCAUCUGCGGCCGCAUCCCCGGGGCCUUGGUCGUGGGUUUGAAACUCACGUGAAGUAUUUUUUGCAUCGUUUUUUUCCUUUUGACCAGGCCCCAUCACGCGGUUGACAGGAACGAUCAACACGGCCCAGUCCAGCGAGCCGGAGGGACAAAACAGCGACUUAUACCAAUUGACGUACACGAUCAAUGAACAGUUUUUUGGUACCACCUCGCGUACAUGUUUUAAAUUCAAAGUGAAAGCGUAAACUUACGAGAAGAAGCGUAUUGUGACGGUGAACCCACGGAGUCAAUCCGUGCUUUAUUAUUAUUAGGGAGAGACUAGUACAAAUGCCCGUGCGCUGCCAAAUUUUUGCUUCCCCCGAGUAGAUGGGCCAAGCGCAGGCUGGCGCUGAAAACUCCUGAUGAACGGAAGUCUGUAUUGCUUUUGAUGUAUGUGCUAUAUAGAUUAGUACCACCUCGGUUAGAGAAAAUAUAAAUCGUAAAAGCGUAUUACGACUGGGCGGAAGCGUAUUGUGACGGUGAACCCACAAAGUCAAUCCGUGCUUUAUUAUUACUAAUACAAAUGCCCGUGCGCUGCAACGGGCAUGGAAUCUUGCAAAAUCUACUCGAUGUGUCAUUAGGUACAAUUUGUUUUUUUGAGUUGGAAUCAUUGUGACUUAUUGAAGUUAUCACACUGGUAGGCUCGAAAAUAAAACAUGGGCAACUUUGUUCGCCGAACGUCGCACCCAGCAAACCUUGGACUCCAUGAAGUCGUGAAGUUCUUUAUCAUUACACACCAUUUCUUAUAUUCAGUUCUAAUAAACGUGAUUAUUGUUUCUCGGCUGAAUAUUGGUCGUCAAGAAGCCACCUCGACAUUCUUCGUCUGACUGAAGAAUAAUUCAUGGAAUAGUCUCUAAAUAUUUUUCUUUUCUUUUAGGAAAACAUGAAUUUUUUAAUAAAACGAAAUGAUUUAUUAAAAAAAAUAGCAUUUUUCUGAACAUUUCUAAAUGCAUUUUUAAAUGUAACAACUUUUGGGAAUUUUGACCAGUUUUAAAAGUGUGAAUAUAUAUAACUGUGUGCUUAUUAUAAAACGAUUUUUACUAUGUUGGGUAUUUUUAGAUAUAUAAGUUUGUUGUACUUUUCAUUUUUAUUUUCUGUUUUUGUUUUAUUUUAUGUUAAAAUAAUUUGCGAUUACAAAAAGGUUCUAAAAUUGCAAAAAACAUUGUUCGUUUUGAUUUCUCAAUAAUAGUUCUUGAAUUCAAAAAACGUCCAUGAUUUCAAAAAAUAUGAACAAUUUUUUAUUUUUUUGGAAAAUAUUAUAAGCAUUCUUUAAUAAUGAUGAACGUUUUUUAAACUUGAAUAACAACUUUUAAUUCGGUAAAAAAUGAAUUUGUUGAACUUUUUUCAAAAAUGACGAACACAAUUUUAAUUUAAUGAAUAUUUUUUUUAGGUCGGUGAACAAAUUUUGAUGAACAUUUUCUAAAUCCGAUGAAAAAAUUGAAUUCGAUGAACCCUUUUUGAAAUUCGAUGAACAAAAAAAUCUUCGUGAAUCUGAAAAGAAAUUUCACAAAAAAAGUGAAAAAGUAAAGAUGAGAAAAGAAGAAAGAAAAAGGAAAACAGAAAAUAAAAUGAAAGGAAAAAAGAAAGAAAGAAAAAGAAAAUACGAAUAAAAACAAAAAAUGGGCUUGCGCAUGAGAACGCCCAGCGCGCGAGGGGUAGUGCACGCGGUAGCGCCGUAUAGGCUUCCCCCAUAGAGAACACUUUGGUUUUCAAAAAAAGGGAGUGUCUAUAUUACAAUCGACUGAAAUUGAAUUGGCCUUCAAUCAAAUAUACCAACCAGUAAAAAUCUGACACCAACUGAAAAAAAACUUGACUGAAAAUAAAGGGGCAUUCAACCAAUUUUUUCAGGCACUACAAACAUGGCACGUGUAUGUAUGACCUAUGCGCUCUAUGAUCCAUGAGCAAGCAAUGAAAGGGCCCAAAAAGCCAGGUCAGUACUCUCACGACCUUCUCCAGGUUAUUGACAGUUUUAUUUUCUUCACAAUACUAUUGGAAGAAAACCUGAAAUUCUCAUCUCAAGGAUCUGAAGUUGAUACUUGUGGAAGAAACUCCUGAACACAAACAUAGUAUAAAUUCAUAAUUAGGCUGCCGUAAAGUCAUCAUCAACCUGCUGUACAAUGAUCAACACAAGAUGAACUAAUCACAUACUAAACAUUUCAUCGUCAUGAAGCUUUAAAUACAGUGGCUUGAGUUGAAAUUUACAGUCAUCUCACUACGAAUAAAGAGUAACUUUUAAAGUGUAUCACAUAUUCAGCUUUGAUGAAUUUUACAGUGUUCAUUUUACUAAAAUUCCAGUCAGUAACAAGCAGAUCACAACAAAGAUACUGGAACUUCAGUAAAUAAGGAGAAACAACCAGUAACAAUGUGUGCUUUAUGAUCAAAUAAGAACGAGAAAGAGGAUGGAGGAAGAAGGGGACAGAAUAGCUACACAAUCAGGAAACUACAGUCACACCAAGAAGACAAACUGUAGGUCAGUACUCUCACAAUCUCCUUCAAAUAGUUCUUCCAGUAAAAAAUGUAGCACUGUAAAUUCAGGUAACUGUAUAGUGUAAAAUCUAUCACUGUAAAAUACAAAAAUCACAACAUUUAGGCUACUACUAUAAAUUACAGAAGUUAUAGGAUUGUAAAACUAAAAACAGGGUAGUGUAAAUUCAAACAUAAGGUCACUGUAAAUUCAAACAAUCAAAAAAUUUAUAGUGCGGUAAAUUAUAGAAGCUAUAGGACAGUAAAUCCUUCAUCAGGUUAGUCAUCAAUUAACUAUAAUUUACUACGAAUACAAACAAAAAAGCAGACUUCUAUGAAUACUACAGUACUGUAAAAUCCGAAGGUUGAGGUCGGUCGUGGCGCCCAUGCAUUGCAUCGGAAAAAAUCGCAUGCCCUUAUGGUUGUCCGGAUCUUCUACUUGAAGACGGCUAAUCAUUACGCCGUCGUCCCGAGCUCUUCCUCGCUUCCCUCAUUGUUUGAUAAUCUAUCCAGCCCUUUUCUAAUGGACCACUUGGCCUGCUGUUUACAAAGCACAUAUCAGCACACUGUAACACUGCCAGUAGUAUUCAUACAUGGAAAGCCCACACAACGUCCAAUCCUUCUUUACCGGGUCUUUCUCUUAUUGUCACGUUGUAACCACACCCCUUAACCCUCUGCACAAUUGUCAUUCCUUCUUCACCGGGUCUAUCAUUUGCCAUGUUAUACCCACACCUCACCCUCCUGCUGUUCUAUAUCUGUAAGCAUCUUGUUGAUCCGCUAAGCAUCUUGUUUCAGUAGAUAAGUAGAGUUGUAUAGCCGUCUAACUCGUAUUAUCAUUGGUGCUUCUUGAACCACAUAAGAAUUGGACUCUUGUGACACUACUAGGAAAAGGCCUGCUAGUGGCGCACCUAUUUUGGCUACUAAUGGCACACUACAGGUGCGCCACUAGCAUCACGCCAUUAGAAUUUUAUACUAAUGGCGCAUCAGGGAGUGCGCCAUUAGUAUAUCACACGGUGCGCCAUUACUAUCUGACUUAGUAAUGGUGCACCACAUAGAAGUGCGCCAUUACUAACAAUUUUUUUUCAAAUAUUUUUUCAGAAUUUUUUUUCAAAUCUUUUUUCGUAAUCUCGGGUCACUAUGGCUUAAUCUCAAGUCAAAUCGCACUAAGUGGUCAAACUUCCCGGAAGGUCACCUAUCCUCACACUACUCCAGCCCGAACACACUUAACUUCGCAGUUCUAUCCAACCCCAGCACCACCUCACUUAACAGACACUUGUUGAUAUAUCUAUCAUAUCAAUCCUAUUAAACCUUGUUGAUGUCUAGGACUUUGUUCAUGUUCAUGAGUAUGAUGAAAUUUUGAAAAAUAUUUCAAACUUUCCAGUCAUAUUACGUACCAUUUUUUGAAAAAAAUUUCCAAAAAAAAAUUCGAAACCAAUUUUUUUUCUGUUACUAGUGGCGCACCUAGCAAACGGUGCGCCACUAGUAAGUUUGAAUUUUUUUUUCAUUUUUUCCCCUCUAGAUCUUAAAAGCCCCGUAACUUUUUUUCUGUUAGGUUUUUGAGGAUUUUGAAAAAAUUUAACGGGGUUCCCUGAGGUAUUUGAGGAUUCGAAACCAAUUUAUGCAUCUUAUCUUCCUUUGAUUGACGGUAGCAUUAUAAGAUGACCUCUCACUAAAUUAUCAAGGUAUAAGUGUUCUCCCUGAGUAUGCACCGUUGCGAAAGUUCUUCGUGCUGAGACACCACGUGAUGAUCGGGUGUGAUAGGCUCUACGUUCAAAUACAACGGGUGCAAAACAGUUGCACACACGGAAUACUCAGGUUAAACUUGACGAGCCUAGCAUAUAACAGAUAUGGCCUCGGAACACUGAGACCGAAAGGUCUAGCGUGAAUCAUAUAGUAGAUAUGAUCAACAAAGUGAUGUUCACCAUUGAAACUACUCCAUCUCACGUGAUGAUCGGACAUGGUUUAGUUGAUUUGGAUCACGUGAUCACUUAGAGGAUUAGAGGGAUGUCUAUCUAAGUGGGAGUUCUUAAGUAAUAUGAUUAAUUGAACUUAAAUUUAUCAUGAACUUAGUACCUGAUAGUAUCUUUCUUGUCUAUGUUGAUUGUAGAUAGAUGGCCCAUAUUGUUGUUUCGUUGAAUUUUAAUGCGUUCCUUGAGAAAGCAAAGUUGAAAGAUGAUGGUAGCAAUUACACGGACUGGGUCCGUAACUUGAGGAUUAUCCUCAUUGCUGCACAGAAGAAUUAUGUCCUGGAAGCACCGCUAGGUGCCAGGCCUCCUGCAAGAGCAACACCAGAAGUUAUGAACGUCUGGCAGAGCAAAGCUGAUGACUACUCGAUAGUUCAGUGUGCCAUGCUUUACGGCUUAGAACCGGGACUUCAACGACGUUUUGAACGUCAUGGAGCAUAUGAGAUGUUCCAGGAGUUGAAGUUAAUAUUUCAAGCAAAUGCCCGGAUUGAGAGAUAUGAAGUCUCCAAUAAGUUCUACAGCUACAAGAUGGAGGAGAAUAGUUCUGUCAGUGAGCAUAUACUCAAAAUGUCUGGGUAUAAUAAUCACUUGAUUCAACUGGGAGUUAAUCUUCCGGAUGAUAGCGUCAUUGACAGAAUUCUUCAAUCACUGCCACCAAGCUACAAGAGCUUCGUGAUGAACUAUAACAUGCAAGGGAUGAAUAAGACGAUUCCCGAGCUCUUCGCAAUGCUAAAGGCUGCGGAGGUAGAAAUCAAAAAGGAGCAUCAAGUGUUGAUGGUCAAUAAGACCACCAGUUUCAAGAAAAAGGGCAAAGGAAAGAAGAAGGGGAACUUCAAGAAGAACAGCAAGCAAGUUGCUGCUCAGGAGAAGAAACCCAAGUCUGGACCUAAGCCUGAGACUGAGUGCUUGUACUGCAAGCAGACUGGUCACUGGAAGUGGAACUGCCCCAAGUAUUUGGCGGAUAAGAAGGAUGGCAAGGUGAACAAAGGUAUAUGUGAUAUACAUGUUAUUGAUGUGUACCUUACUAAUGCUUGCAGUAGCACCUGGGUAUUUGAUACUGGUUCUAUUGCUAAUAUUUGCAACUCGAAACGGGGACUACGGAUUAAGCGAAGAUUGGCUAAGGACGAGGUGACGAUGCGCGUAGUAAAUGGUUCCAAAGUCGAUGUGAUCGCAGUCGGCACACUACCUCUACAUCUACCUUUGGGAUUAGUUUUAGACCUAAAUAAUGUUAUUUGGUGCCAGCUUGAGCAUGAACAUUAUAUCUGGAUCUUGUUUAAUGCGAGACGGUUAUUCAUUUAAAUCAGAGAAUAAUGGUUGUUCUAUUUAUAUGAGUAAUAUCUUUUAUGGUCAUGCACCCUUGAAGAGUGGUCUAUUUUUGUAGAAUCUCGAUAGUAGUGAUACACAUAUUUAUAAUAUUGAAACCAAAAGAUGCAGAGUUGAUAAUGAUAGUGCAACUUAUUUGUGGCACUGCCGUUUAGGUCAUAUCAGUGUAAAGCGCAUGAAGAAACUCCGUACUGAUGGACUUUUGGAACCACUUGAUUAUGAAUCACUUGGUACGUGCGAACCGUGCCUCAUGGGCAAGAUGACUAAAACGCCGUUCUCCGGUACUAUGGAGAGAGCAACAGAUUUGUUGGAAAUCAUACAUACAGAUGUAUGUGGUCCGAUGAAUGUUGAGGCUCGUGGCGGAUAUCGUUAUUUUCUCACCUUCACAGAUGAUUUGAGCAGAUAUGGGUAUAUCUACUUAAUGAAACAUAAGUUUGAAACGUUUGAAAAGUUCAAAGAAUUUCAGAGUGAAGUUGAAAAUCAUCGUAACAAGAAAAUAAAGUUUCUACGAUCUGAUCGUGGAGGAGAAUAUUUGAGUUACGAGUUUGGUCUUCAUUUGAAACAAUGCGGAAUAGUUUCGCAAAUCACGCCACCCGGAACACCACAGCGUAAUGGUGUGUCCGAAUGUCGUAAUCGUACUUUACUAGAUAUGGUGCGAUCUAUGAUGUCUCUUACUGAUUUACCGCUAUCAUUUUGGGGUUAUGCUCUAGAGACAGCUGCAUUCACGUUAAAUAGGGCACCAUCUAAAUCUGUUGAGACGACGCCUUAUGAACUAUGGUUUGGCAAGAAACCAAAGUUGUCGUUUCUUAAAGUUUGGGGCUGCGAUGCUUAUGUGAAAAAGCUUCAACCUGAUAAGCUCGAACCCAAAUCGGAGAAAUGUGUCUUCAUAGGAUACCCAAAAGAGACUGUUGGAUACACCUUCUAUCACAGAUCCGAAGGCAAGACUUUUGUUGCUAAAUUUGGAUCCUUUCUAGAGAAGGAGUUUCUCUCAAAAGAAGUGAGUGGGAGGAAAGUAGAACUUGAUGAGGUAACUGUACCUGCUCCCACUAGUAGGAAAAGGGGUUUUUACCCCGGUUCAAAAGGGCCUUUAGUCCCGGUUCUGGAACUGGGACUAAAGGGUCGUUACUAAUGCCCUAGCCCUUUAGUCCCGGUUCUUACACGAACCGGGACUAAAAGCCGUCCACGUGGCCGGUGCGGGGAGCCCAGGCAGGAGGGCCUUUGGUCCCGGUUGGUGCCACCAACCGGGACCAAUAGGCAUCCACGCGUCAGCACCUGGCAGGAGCUGAGGUUUUUGUUUUUUUUGAAAGGGGGUGGUUUAGGGCUUUUGGGGGGUUAAUUUAGGUGUUUCAUAUAUUGUGUUAGCUAGCUAAUUAAUAGAGAGAAGUGUCCUCUCUUAUCUCCGUGCUUGGUCGACGCUACGUACUAUAUACGUAUGGAGAGGAGUAGACACGCUAGCUAGUAAUCAAAUGAAGGAAACAGAAGAUCAUCAUGAACAUAUGCAUACAGAGAGAAGUGAUAUCGACCACCUCUCCUUCUCCGAGAUAUUGGUCGAACAACAAGUUCUCGUAUAUCUAUCCGACACUACCGGCUACAUAUAUACAAUAAUUAUCUCUUACAAUACAAUCUCCUAAUUAUAUUGUAGGAACACAGGGUCCACAUAGUAUUCUCCGUUUUCAGCGAUCACGUGGUCAAGGAAGAAUGCCGCCAAUUCCUCUUGAAUUCCUCGCAUACGAUCUUCUGCUAGGAGUUCAUCCCGCUUCCGAAAAAUCUAUUUUGAAGAAGGGGGUCAAUACAUAUAUAUAUGAAUAAAUGAAACUCAACACAAAUGAUGGUAAUAAAAUAAAAUUGUGAAUAUUAUUGCUUACGCACUUCAUAUUGUUCUUCAGUGUAGCCCCGCUCACAGGUAUGGUAGCGGAUGGACUCGCAAACGUAGUAUCCACAGUAAUUAUUCCCGGGUUGCUGCCACAACCACUUUACAAGAAAUAGAGGUCAAUCAAACUGAUAAGCAAGCAUGCUAAAUGGUAUUGAUCAAACUAGCGCUUGAAUCACUAGGAGAUGCGCCGAACAUGCUACUAUAGUACUUACUUUCGGGUGUCUAAAUUGCAGCUUGUUCGGCAGUCCCGGGGCUUUUGAGGUGAGUUUUCUCCAAACCCUGCCAGACAAAGAAAACAAUUACUUGAUAUCAGGAAAUGAACAAAGUUGCUGAUAUGGUGGAUAAUGAUCGAUUUAACUUACUUCUGGAGCAUUUGAGUCAUGUUCGCAUAGUCCUGGGGAUCUUUUCGUCUCGAUUUUAAGACGGUUACUACUCCCGGCUCAAGCUUAAUCUCUAGGAGAAUAUAGUGGAAGUUGCGCAUGCAUGCAUAAGUCAUCAAUUACAUUACCAUAACCUGGACUAAUAAGGGAAACCGAAUAUGCACAAGACAGUAACACUCACUUGAAGUUGUAAGGAAAGAGUAUUAUAUCUUUGUUUUGAUUUAAUACCAACGAUUGUAGCAAGUUGGCCUCGGCUUCUUUGGGAUGUUUUUCAACCGUAUAUGCAUCUAUGAGAUUUGUAUUUAUGAACCUAAUAUCACCGAUUUGCCUUUUCUUCAAUUUGGCGAUCUUCAAUCUGCAUAAUAUAGUGAGGAUAAGUAUAAAUACAAGCGCAUUGCAUCCAUCUUGAUACCAAGCCUCGGUAUGAAUGGCAUAUUUUCUAAUCUUUCUAAUAUUCAAGCGCAUUGCAUCCAUCUUGAUCUUGUGAUCAUUGACGACAUCCGCAACAUGCAACUCCAAUAUCAUCUUCUCCUCCUCAAUUUUUUUUUAUUUUUUCCUUCAAGUAAUUGUUUUCUUCUUCAACUAAAUUUAACCUCUCGACAAUAGGGUCGGUUAGAAUUUCCGGUUCAACCACCUCCUAGAUAAAUAAAAUCUAUGUCACGUUGGUCGGCAUAUUUGUCAUAAACAAUAAAUGAACCAAAUAGUUAUAAAAAGAUAAUAUAUACCACAUCCGAAUCAUAGACAGGACGAGGGCCGACGGGGGCGGGUACCAAAACCAUCGCACUAUGUAAUAAGAAGGAAUAAUAAAAGUAACAAAAUUAGACAAGUAUCUAUCUGAAGUAAGAAUUUUUUUCUUUCAGAAAGAAGAUAAGAACAAGAGGCUCACCACGGUGGUGCUGGCGACGAGAUCGGUGCGGGCGAUCGACGGCGGUGAAGACGGGGACGGGACGUGACGGACCGCUAAACCUAGACAAAUCUCGGGGAAAAUGGCGCUCGGAGGUCGAGUUUCGAGAGGAGAAAGAUUAACUAGUGUGGCUCAAACAUUUCAUCGAACACCUCAUGUGCAUAGGAGGUGAGCUAGAGCACCCAAAUGCCCUCCCCUCGACGGCCAGAAAAAAUAGAGCACUGUGGAGUGCUCUGCUGCGGCGAUGGGGUAUAUAUAGGCAGCUCAUUUGUCCCGGUUCAUGACUAGAACUGGUACUAAAUCCCGGCCUUCUGUUCCGGUUCAUGCCAAGAACCGGGACCAAUGGUCGUGGGCCAGGAGCGAGGCCCAUUAGUCCCGGUUCGUGCCUCGAACCGGGACAAAUGGUUCCAUACGAACCGGGACCAAUGCCCACGAGGCCCCGGCCGCCCCUCUGGGCUCACGAACCGGGAUGAAUGCCCCCAUGGGUCCCGGUUCGUGACUGAACCGGGGCUAAUGUGAAAACUGUCCUGUGACCUAAGCCCCUUUUCCUACUAGUGUCCCUUAUUGGAAAGUAGUUCAUCACAGGAACCGGUUCCUGUGACGUCUACACCAAUUAGUGAGGAAGUUAAUGAUGAUGAUCAUGGAACUUCAGAUCAAGUUGAUAGUGAACCUCGUAGGUCAAACAGAGUAAGAUCCGCACCAGAGUGGUACGGUAAUCCUGUUCUGGACGUUAUGUUACUAGACCAUGACGAACCUACGAACUAUGAGGAAGCGAUGGUGAGCCCAGAUUCCGCAAAAUGGCUUGAUGCCAUGAAAUCUGAGAUGGGAUCCAUGUAUGAGAACAAAGUAUGGACUUUGGUUGACUUGCCCGAUGAUCGGCAAGCCAUUGAGAAUAAAUGGAUCUUCAAGAAGAAGACUGACGCUGACGGUAAUGUUACUGUCUAUAAAGCUCGACUUGUUGCGAAAGGUUUUUGACAAGUUCAAGGGAUUGACUACGAUGAGACUUUCUCACCCGUAGCGAUGCUUAAGUCUAUCCGAAUCAUGUUAGCAAUUGCCGCAUUUUAUGAUUAUGAAAUUUGGCAAAUGGAUGUCAAAACUGCAUUCCUGAAUGGAUUUCUGGAAGAAGAGUUGUAUAUGAUUCAACCAGAAGGUUUUGUCGAUCCAAAGAGAGCUAACAAAGUGUGCAAGCUCCAGCGAUCCAUUUAUGGACUGGUGCAAGCCUCUCGGAGUUGGAAUAAAUGCUUUGAUAGCAUGAUCAAAGCAUUUGGUUUUAUACAGACUUUUGGAGAAGCCUGUAUUUACAAGAAAAUGAGUGGAGCUCUAUAGCAUUUCUGAUAUUAUAUGUGGAUGACAUAUUGCCUGUAUUUAAAAGAAAGUGAGUGGAGCUCUAUAGCAUUUCUAAUAUUAUAUGUGGAUGACAUAUUGUUGAUUGGAAAUGAUAUAGAAUUUCUGGAUAGUAUAAAGGGAUACUUGAAUAAGAGUUUUUCAAUGAAGGGCCUCGGUGAAGCUGCUUAUAUAUUGGGCAUCAAGAUCUAUAGAGAUAGAUCAAGACGUUUAAUUGGACUUUCACAAAGCACAUACCUUGACAAAGUUUUGAAGAAGUUCAAAAUGGAUCAAGCAAAGAAAGGGUUCUUGCCUGUGUUGCAAGGUGUGAAGUUGAGUAAGACUCAAUGCCCGACCACUGCAGAAGAUAGAGAGAAGAUGAAAGAUGUUCCCUAUGCUUCAGCCAUAGGCUCUAUCAUGUAUGCAAUGCUGUGUACCAGACCAGAUGUGUGCCUUGCUAUAAGUCUAGCAGGGAGUACCAAAGUAAUAUAGGAGUGGAUCACUGGACAGCGGUCAAGAACAUCCUGAAAUACUUGAAAAGGACGAAGGAUAUGUUUCUCGUUUAUGGAGGUGACAAAGAGCUCAUUGUAAAUGGUUACGUUGAUGCAAAAUUUGACACUAAUCCGGACGAUUCUAAAUCGCAAACCGGAUACGUGUUUACAUUGACGGUGGAGUUGUUAGUUGGUGCAGUUCUAAACAAAGCGUCGUGGCGGGAUCUACAUGUGAAGCAGAGUACAUAGCUGCUUCGGAAGCAACAAAUGAAGGAGUCUGGAUGAAGGAGUUCAUAUCCGAUCUAGGUGUCAUACCUAGUGCUUCAGGUCCAAUGAAAAUCUUUUGUGACAAUACUGGAGCAAUUGCCUUGGCGAUGGAAUCCAGAUUUCACAAGAGAACCAAGCACAUCAAGAGACGCUUCAAUUCCAUCCGGGAUUUAGUCCAGGUGGGAGAGAUAGAAAUUUUCAAGAUACAUACGGAUCUGAAUGUUGCAGACCCGUUGACUAAGCCUCUUCCACAAGCAAAACAUGAUCAGCACCAAGACUCCAUGGGUGUUAGAAUCAUUACUGUGUAAUCUAGAUUAUUAACUCUAGUGCAAGUGGGAAACUGAAGGAAAUAUGCCCUAGAGGCAAUAAUAAAGUUAUUAUUUAUUUCCUUAUAUCAUGGUAAAUGUUUAUUAUUCAUGCUAGAAUUGUAUUAACCGGAAACAUAAUACUUGUGUGAAUACAUAGACAAACAAAGUGUCACUAGUAUGCCUCUACUUGACUAGCUCGUUCAUCAAAGAUGGUUAUGUUUCCUAGCCAUAGACAUGAGUUGCCAUUUGAUUAACGGGAUCACAUCAUUAGGAGAAUGAUGUGAUUGACUUGACCCAUUCCGUUAGCUUAGCACUCGUUCGUUUAGUAUAUUGCUAUUGCUUUCUUCAAGACUUAUACAUGUUCCUAUGACUAUGAGAUUAUGCAACUCCCGUUUACCGGAGGAACACUUUGUGUGCCACCAAACGUCACAACGUAACUGGGUGAUUAUAAAGGUGCUCUACAGGUGUCUCCGAAGGUACUUGUUGGGUUGGCGUAUUUCGAGAUUAGGAUUUGUCACUCCGAUUGUCGGAGAGGUAUCUCUAGGCCCACUCGGUAAUGCACAUCACUUAAGCCUUGAAAGCAUUGAAACUAAUGAGUUAGUUGCGGGAUGAUGUAUUACGGAACGAGUAAAGAGACUUGCCGGUAACGAUAUUGAACUAGGUAUUGAGAUACCGACGAUCGAAUCUCGGGCAAGUAACAUACCGAUGACAAAGGGAGAAACGUAUGUUGUUAUGCGGUCUGACCGAUAAAGAUCUUCGUAGAAUAUGUGGGAGCCAAUAUGAGCAUCCAGGUUCUGCUAUUGGUUAUUGACCGGAGACGUGUCCCGGUCAUGUCUACAUAGUUCUCGAACCUGUAGGGUCCGCAUGCUUAAAGUUACGAUGACAGUUGUAUUAUGAGUUUAUAUGUUUUGAUGUACCGAAGGUUGUUCGGAGUCCCGGAUGUGAUCACAGACAUGACGAGGAGUCUCGAAAUGGUCGAGACAUGAAGAUUGAUAUAUUGGAAGCCUAUGUUUGGAUAUCGGAAGUGUUCCGGGUGAAAUCGGGAUUUUACCGGAGUACCGAGGGGUUACCGGAACCCCCCCGGGACUUAAUGGGCCAUGGUGGGCCUUAGUGGAGAAGAGGAGAGGCGGCCAGGGCAGGGCCGCGCGCCCCUCCCCCCUAGUCCGGAUAGGACAAGGAGAGGGGGGCGGCGCCCCCCCCCCCUUCCUUCCUCUCUUCCACCUCUUUCCCCCUCCUCUCCUAAUCCAACAAGGAAAAGGGAGUGGGAGUAGGACUCCUCCUGGCGCGCCCCCUCCUGGCCGGCCGCACCUCCCCCGUUGCUCCUUUAUAUACGGGGGCAGGGAGCACCCUAGGGACACAACAACUGAUCAUUUGAUCUUUUAGCCAUGUGCGGUGCCCCCUUCCACCAUAGUUCACCUCGAUAAUACUGUAGCGGUGCUUAGGCGAAGCCCUGCGUCGGUAGAACAUCAUCAUCAUCACCACGCCGUCAUGCUGACGAAACUCUCCCUCAACAGUCGGCUGGAUCGGAGUUCGAGGGACGUCAUCGGGCUGAACGUGCGCUGAACUCGGAGGUGCCGUGCGUUCGGUACUUGAUCAGUCGGAUCGUGAAGACGUACGACUACAUCAACCGCGUUGUGCUAAACGCUUCCGCUUUCGGUCUACGAGGGUACGUGGACAACACUCUCCCCUCUCGUUGCUAUGCAUCACCAUGAUCUUGCGUGUGCGUAGGAAUAUUUAAAAUUACUACGUUUCCCAACAAAAUGACCUAUUGGGUGUCGCAUUCUAGGAAAUCUACCCUGUUCUGAAGGCUUGUGUAGAUGAAUUAUUUUCAAUGUGGAAAGAUAUACUUGUACACGUCGCGCCUUCGCCCGCUAAGAGCGGCUAAGAAGCAUGAUCACCUAGAGCACCAUCACUGGAUUUAACCAGAACAAAAGGCAAACAAUUUUAUACAUGAAUAUCUAUAUGACUGCAGUCAGAACUAAAAGUACCCGAUUUUAAAUAUGGGUUGGGUGGCCUGCAGGAGUGUAGUAAACAUAAAUUUGGCCGGUCAGCUUCUAUAGGGAAUGCAAAACACUUAAGAAAUAAGAAACAGAGAACAUCUAAGCAGAAAUAAGGUACAUGUUUGCUUACGAAUGGUACUAACAUGAUAUAUUUUCUGCCCGCCGGUAAGUUAUCAAGCAAGAUCAUCAAAUGUUUCUUUGUAGACCACAUUGUGAGUAUUGCCAACAGUUUUCAGGAGAGUUAUUUUCAGUCAAAGCUGGAAGAUGAAGACUGACUAAGAAAUACUCACAUCAGUCAAAAUAAAAAUCCUGGGCUGAAAAUUUGAGAUGUACAUAACUACUACAAUCUAGCAACGAACCCAUACUCUUUUUUUAUUAUCACUGCUGCUUUUUGACACUCAAGCGGACAUUUGUAUUGGCGACUAUAAGAAAACUGGAAAAUAUAUUAGAUAGAGCGGGCGGUGAGGUCCCAGGUGGGGGGAGUGGGGGAGGCGGCGGGGUGGCACUCGGUAGGCAGAGCGACCGACGGCGGUGUGGUCGCAUGCGAAAUCAUAGUCAGAACUUUGCAUUUGAAGGUACACGCUCAGAGGAAUUUUUUUUUUGCUCAGUGCCAAAAGUAUCAAAUGCCUAAAAUUGAAAAUCACAUCCUGAACUGAGCAUUUUAUUGAGAAUCGGCAAAAUAAGUUAAAGACAACAGUACGAGAACAGGUGAACGGUGAUCUGAUUUCAACACAAAAUACUCAUGAAGAAAUAAAAUGGGUGGACAGUGAUUUGGUUUCUAAGCAUAAAACUGAUCAUGUUUAUGCCACACAUUAAGCACAUAAUGUGUGCGUAUUUGGAGCCUGAAACAUCUACCAACUAAAACUACUCCCAAAAGCAAUCUUCAAGUUCAAUCUUAAGAUGUAACACAUAAAGCUACAGACUACAAUUUUGAUGCACAGAUUUAGCUCACUCAAUUCAGUUUAGAGAGUACCCACACCCAAUUCUGGAAAAAAUAAUGCGAGGCCCAAUCCUCCGCUGCAUCAAGCAUCAACCAUCAUGAGAUUGAUUCCUUAAUUGAUCUGAAAAGAGUUGCUUGGAUUAAUGUACUGUUAGAACUUGAUAUUGGAGGAAAGGAGGGAUAAAACCUUGAGGAGCUGCAUGUCCAUUGCGUCCUUGACGGCGGCGACCGUGGUGGAUGGGGAACUCCCAUGGCGUGCCCAACUGCAUCUCCAGCAGAGGAUAUGAAGAGAAGGUGAGGUGUAGGGGCAGCGAAUCUCGGCCAAGAAGGAAGGAAGGACGAACCUGGGACCACCGGAGACGCGCCGGCGAAGCCAUGCCCGAAACCCUAGCCAUGGGUGUGUGGUUGCGAGCGGGCUGUAGAGGCCGGGAGCAGAGAGUCUGGAUGGAGGGGAGGGAGGCGCGGACCGUGGGAAGCUUGGGGCGUGCCGCGCUGCGCCGGAGGCGCUGGAAGCAGCCGGCAUGGGCGGCGGCGGCGGCGAUGACUUCAUGGGCAGAGGGAGAGGAGGCGAACCGGUGUGCUCUCUGUGUGGUUGUGUUUUCUUUUUUCUUUACAAAACUGCUUGGAGCGCGCAUUUAAUUGUCCAAACGACAGGGUGUUUUACACAAAAAUGAACCGUUUUUCCAGAGUGCCACUUAAACAGGGACUGCGGGUUGAUUUCAAAGAAAUAGAGGAGUUUUUUCGCAAAAACACCUGCGACGUACGCCCAGCAGCAAUGCGUGGUUUAUUAGUAGGUAGAGAUUAUUAUUAUUAUUAUAUAUAUAUAUAUAUAUAUAUAUAUAUAUAUGACAAAUUUUUCCUUCUACCGGGUGUAGUUACUCCCACUUUUGUUUACGUUCUAGGUAGUAUCUAUUAUAUCGGAGAGUAUGUACGCAUAGUAUGUAGUAUGUAAGAAUUGUUUAGGUAGUAUAUAUACUAUUUUUUAUGUAGUAUGUAGUAUAUUUUGAGCAUACUUCUUUUUACGUACAAAUAUGUACGUAUUUCACAAAUAUUAUAAAAACAUGAGCUCACAUGCAAUUUUUUCACAUAACUCACUUUAAAGUAUAUUAGAUAUAUUAUAUGAACAUACUAAAAAUAAUAAAGUAGAGUAUAUAAUACCACAUAGUAGUAUAUGAGAAAUGAGUGUAACUACACCCGGUAGUAGGAUGCAUUUUCCAUAUAUAUAUAUAUAUGAAAAAUCCCGGUGGUAGUUACCCCACAUAUCUCAUAUACUACCAUGUGGUACUCUAUAUACUAUAUUAUUAUUUUAAAUAUGUUCAUAUACUAUAUCUAAGAUAUUUGAAAGCAAGUUAUAUGAAAAAAUUGCAUAUGAGUCCAUAGUUUUUGUUAUAUUUGUGAAAUACGUACAUAUUUAUACAUAGAAAAGAGCAUACUCAAAACAUAGUACAUACUAGCCAAAAAUUAAUAUAUAUACUACCUAAUCAUUGUUAUAUACUACAUACUAAACGUACAUACUCUUGGUUUCGACAGAUACUACAUUCAACAUACUCAUGAUCCAGCUACCCCAGCGAGGAGAGCCCCCGCGGACUACUCCGGCUAUGCAUGCCCCCUUGCCCGCGCUCCUGUCUCAUCCCUCCCCGACGAAGCCUGCCACUCCAUCUAGUUGAUGCUCCUCUGAUUUCUCUGUUUCUUACCGAUCUGAUGCCGUCGUCAAGGCCUUCGUGCACCGGCCUCCCACAAUCACACUCGACAGCGACCACCAGCCCACGUGCACGUUGGGCACUACCUGGAGGAGAUGACGACCUGCAGCUGGAGGAGGCCCCGGCCUGCAGCUGGAUCAGCGAAGAUGGCAACAGCGAAGCCGACGAACCAGUCCGCCGCGGCCACGAACACCGGCGCCGCGCUGAAGGCCACCGACUGCAGGCAGCAUGCGACGACGGCAGACAGCGUGAGCACAACGUAGGAGCAAAAGCGCAAGCAAAGAGCCAAAGACUGGGUUAGGUGAAGUUGAAACGGAUGGACUUACGACGACGUAGUGCCUGUCGCUGAUGUUCCAGCCGCCGGUGUAUGGCCGGAGCCCGUCGAGGGGGUCCUUCCGGCGCGUCCGCUCGGCCGCCAGCGGCGCGGCGGAGCGGGCGCACAAGGAGGACGCGAGGACGACGGCGAGGAGCAGGAGGAGCGCACGCCGGCGAGCUGACCCCGCCAUGGCUGCGAGUAUGAUACUGUGCACUUGGAGAUCAAUUCUGCAUUACAUAUACGAGGCAGUGAGAAGCAAAGAUUGGAGCUCGGUAGUGGUUGUGAUGUGGUGGUUCGAUUGGCUUGUACUAAUCCCAGGUCACAACACUGGUGAUUUGAACGCGUGCAUGCAUGGCAGCAUGAGCCGGGUCGUGUCCACUAAAGCAAAAAAAGGCUGGUGCAGCUUCCAGCGCCGAUGCGGCCCCUGAGCCGUCCAACUGCGACCGUCCUGCAGUCCAACCUCGUUUCCGCGCGUAGUGCCUCCUUGUCCGCUCGCUUGCUCGCCCAGUUCCUUCACGAGAAGGAGAAAAGCAAUGGCAUUUUCCUCUGAACUUUCAUCUUUAGGCUAUGGCUCUGAACAUUUUCCUGCUCGGGCAUCUCUCAUUGACCUUCGACAAAGCUUGUCAUUGACCUUCCCCCAGCAUUUCUCAUUGCUGCUGCACACGGUGCUCCCCGGUUUCCUGGCGCCUCUCCCUCGCGGUUGUUUGUGUUGUGUUCCCUGGCACCUUCCCCCGUGCUUGCACCGAACUACUGCUAGCUUUGCCUGCUGUUAAUUUGGAUGUACAGGGAAGAAGACAAGAGCAUGCGGUGAAAGAGAUAAAGAAGGGUUUGUCUAGGCGGUGUGCAUAAGGAACGUGUGGUCGGUGAGAGGACUGGAGUUUCUACCGUCCACAUCUUGCACGACCACACCGCCCACCGAUGCCGACAAGCCCCUGCACCCCUAUUGUCAUCUGCCUGUGCUGCUACACCCAAGCUCUAUCCCUCGGACCCCACGCUCGUUUUGCUGCGUUCUUCAAGAGCAUCCGCAAAACAGUUUUGUGAAUGAACGUAUGAUCUCAAAAAACUGAUACAGAGAAUGCUCUGUUGUGCUUGUACUAAUGCGCGAUUUAUUUUGGCUUUCAAAAUUUGUUUUUCUGAAGGUCAAGACGUUGUGUUGUAAAAGGUCAUGUGUGUAUUGUAUAUGUAUGUGUGCGUUUUUUUUAAAUGCAUACCUUCAUUGAUUCACCUCGGAAUGCUCUUUCAGAUGUGUGCAUUUGUAUUUGUGUAAAUGCAUAUAGCACACGAAGUAUAUAUGUAUUGUUGUGUGUAAUUUUUUUGAAUUAUAAUAGCAUGCGAAGUUCAUGUUUCAGAAAUUCAUAAGUUCACGUGUACCACAUACUGAAGAAAUUCAUCAGUGAAAAAAAGGACUACCUAGGCCAUUUCAACGACAGCAAAAAAUGCCUAAAAUUGUCGCGAGACAAAAAAACAAAUCUACAUAAGAUAUAACAUAGUAAAUUCAUAGAAAGGUGGAAAAACAUAAUUUUGUUUUGUAAGUUUAACCAUUUCUAAAAAUACCUUGAAGUUCAAAUUCAAAUAAUAGGGCGAUUCAAUGUUUAUUAUAAAUCUGUAAUUUUCCCGUUACUAUAGGAUAAACCAAGAAGGUCAAAAAUUAAAAAUGAAGCAGUUCGAAAAGUUUAUAAAAAUGAUGUUUCUAAAUUUUACUAAAAAAUGGAGAAGUUCAAAUUUUAAAAAACAAGUUCAAAAUGCUUAUUCCAAAACCAAGAAGCUCAAAUAAAAAAAUGAGCAACUCGAGACCCUUGGGCAACUCGAGACCUGCGUGACUCCGUUGGCCGAAUUGUUCCUACUCUGAUGGUAAGCUAAGGCCCAACCUGGCCCAGCAUGGAUGACGUACGAAUAGAGAGGGCCCAAUCUGGAUGCGAUCGUUCGAUGCACACAACGUGGUUCCACCUCGCAUAUUUUUUCCCUAAUAAUAAAGCACGGAUUGACUCCAAGCAAUUUGCCCAAGGCAACUACAAGGACAAGGAAGAAGAGAACGUCAUGUGUUUGAAAGAUAAAUUCUAUUCCGAUCAUGUGUUUGUUUAUUCGUCAAGCCACUUGUUGACAUUCCAAGGAACUUGCCAGCAUAUAUAAAUUGAUGGGAAUUGGUAUGAGAUAGCAACGUGGGACUAUUCUCUUAUUUGUAGUACAACUUUUUUUAGACAAAUUUGUAGUACAGCUUUUUUUAGGGAAUUUCUAGUACAGCUAAAAAGGCUCUCUCUCUCUCUCUCUCUAAACAAUUGUAAUAUUUAAUCCAAGCAAAAUUAUAUGAAUUACAAGACGAAUUGUACUGAUGUGACUUGAGUUUUGGUUGGUUUCACACGCUCAUACUUGUUUAGUUUUCUUGUAAAAUAAUAUGGCGGUAUUUAUACUAUUCAGGGUUGGUUAUUCAUCCGUCAGGUUAUUCUUGAAGCUAGCUAGUAAUCACCAUGAGUUCAGUUGGCGUUCGAAGUAAUCACCAAGCCAAUCGAAUGUGAGCAUCUGGACGUUAGCUGUGAAUGACAGACGGCUAGAUGGGCUAAUGAAGAUUAAACCUCAAGUUUUGUACGCGACAGUGCUGCAGACCUUCAGCAGUGAGACUUCGAUUAGAAGGACUUACGACGCAGCGAUACAGUCGAACGUACAAGCAUACUCGGCCUCCCCCCCUAUCUCAAGUUCUCAACGUGCCAACGUAUAUACUUAGGAAACAGAAGGAAAAAGCCCACAGUAAAAAAGCCCACACCCACUAGCGGGCCAUAUUGGUAACGUACUCCCUCGAUCUGAUCUCCUCGAGAUGCGUCUUUCGUCCGUGAUUAUCGUGCAGGGUCAACCAGCGCCGAGCAGGUGUCCCCGAUGGACCCAUCAGUUAAUUAAACGUUUUCUUUUUUCUAACUGAUUGAAAAUAUUUUUUUUCUUUGCCUUAUCCGAACACACCACUGCUGCCACUCCCCGUUCCACAGCCACUGAAUCCGCUGCGAGAGAGGAUUAUGACAAGGUGAAAUCCACCGUCCGGGCCGUGGCCGGCGGCAAGGCCGGAGAUGUCGCUGCUAGCGCCGCCCGUCUCUGACACGCUUAGUGAACUGGAGCUGUCGCGACUAGCGCGCUCCGCCGCCUGGAGUCGUGGGGUUGGAAGGCGGUGAGGCGGGAGUCGUCGCCGCUAGCUAGUGCCGCUCGCCUCCGGCACGCUGCGCUGCCUGGGGCCGUGGUCUUGGGUGGAGGCGAGAUGGGAUCCGUCGUGGCUAGCUCUGCUCGCCUCAGGCGCGCUGCGGCACACCCGUCCGUGUCCUUGGCCGGCGGCAAGAUGGGAGUCGUCGAGGCUAGUGCUGACCGUCUCCGGCGCACCAAAGGCCAGGCCAAUGUUCUGGCUGGCCUGCUCCCUGGGAGAUGGUGCCAUGGUGGAACUGCUGCGCGGUCAGCCGGUGGCCGAGAUGCGCGCAGUCGUACUAGAGGGUGCGAGCUCGAUGCAGACUCAACAGGCAAAGGUGCGUCAAGAUUCAUUAAGUCAUCUAGCUCUGUACUGGAGUAGUAGGUAACUAGCUAUCAUACUGAACUUGGAAGUAUGAGAGCUAUCCAUUUUUCUCUGCUUCUCUGCUUUUCAAUAGCACAGUACAGUGGAAAUCACAAAUUGGUGAAAGCGCCUUUGAGUAAAUGUAGUGCCCAAGACCACAUUUAAUUGGAAAACAAAAGCACAGUUACACAGCUAACAUAUCAAAAGGAAUAACCAGCAACUAAUCCAUAUUCAUGUAUAUAAAUUUAUUUGAGCAUAAAACCAUUGCGCAUCUAACAUCAAAAGGAAUGGUACGAUAAAUUAUUACAUUGCAGGGUAACUGUUUUGUAGAGCAAUCCUGAGAUACACACUUUAUAUAGAGCUAUUUAGAAGUGUUUAUCUUGUAUGUGACUUGAUUGGCUACCCAAGACCUGGAAGAACAAAGAAAUGAUUUCUUGUUAGAUAUAAACUUGAAUUGGUUGAAUAUGACAUGUGAGUGAACAAUACCUUAAUUGGCAGCUGGUCAUUUUUUAGAUGUUGGCCAUCCCGAGUCCGAGAACAUUUGGGAACUCUAGAUACAAUGUUGAUCCAAAAGUCAAUACAAGUGAAUGACAUGUGCAUGUUCAUUUUAAUUUCUAGCGAGUAACUAAUAAAAUUAUACCUGACUUGGUUGAGUGCUAGUUGGUGGCUAGUGAUUUUGAGACGUUGGCCAUCCCGAGUAUGAUGACACCAGAGAAGUCUACAUAGUGUUAAUCAAAAAGUAAAUGACACACGCAUGCUCGUCUUAAUUUUAACAAUUAACUAAACAAUUAUACCUGGCUCGGUUGAGUGCUAUGAUAGAAAUAUGGUUGUUGUGGUCGCAAACCAAGCAACUGUUGAAAACUAGUAGUGUCUGUCUGCGAUAGCGGAGGCAAGCCAUGCUGUAAAACUUGCAAAUUGUAGUUCUCAGGUUGUGGUACCGAUGUCACAUUACCCGGUAGUACAUGCAAAUUGUAAUUAUGUCCACGUGGUAAUGGGGAAACAACUUGUGGUAACGGAGGCAUAGCACGCGGCAAUACUUGUAGAUUGUAAUUCGCAACAUUUGGUACUGGAGGCAUAGCAUGUUACAAUACUUGCAAAUUGUGUUAGCAGCAUUUGGUAGUGGAUGCAUAGCAUGCUGCAUUACUUGCAAAUUAUAGUUCUCAUUUGAUAUGUUGAAGCUAGGAUUUGCUGCAGAUGAUGCAGAAGCACAAUCACCACUCUUAUUCUUGCAUGUUGCUCCUUGACCUAUUCGCAAAAGAAUUUGUUAGGUCUAUUUCAAUAACAUGAACAAAUAUUUAUGUUGCUACUUCUUGUGCAAUACCAUACCUUUCGUAUUACGUUUAUUCUUAUUUGGUACGUUGAAGCUAGGAUUUUCUUCAGAUGAUGCAGAAGCACAAUCACCACUCUUGUUCUUACAUGUUGCUCCUUGACCUAUUUGCAAAAGAUUUUGUUAGAUCUAUUUCAAUAACAUGACCAGAUAUUUAUGUAGCUAUUUCUUGUGCAAUACCAUACCUUUCGUAUUACGUUUAUUCUUAUUGUUCAAUUCCAGUCCAGAUUUAAUCCUCUUGUUGCUACUUCCUGGUUCUUUUCUCUUUAUUCCCUGUGCUUGGACUACAUUCUCAAUGUUGCAUUCAACUGGUUGCUUCUCUGCUUGUUCAUGAUUUAGUGAUUCAUCUUUUGAUUGAUUUCCAUGUAAAAUUUGGUCCACCUUUUCCAUUAGUUCAAUUGACAUACUUUGCAGUAGUGCAUAUGCCUCUUUGUUUGCUGCUGCUUUGCUCAAAAUGUUAUUGUAAGUGCGGCAUAGUGAUCCAUACUGUCUAGCUAGCACAACUCUUGCAUCUUCAUCAUCAGAGCACUUUUGAAUUGCUUCUGAUGGCCCUGAUUUUGCUCGCCUUGUCCAUCUUUUCAAGAUAUAUUCUGGUGCCAACUCCUUGAUAUUGUUGUGGUCCAACACCUUCAAUGCAUGACGACACAAUACCCCAACAAAUUCAAACUUUUUGCAUGAGCAUGAAACUUUUGAUCCAUUGGGAUCAAAUUUCACAGUAUGACAAUUUUGGCUAGCUGAAUGGGUAACCGUGAAUUCAGAAAUAGAGCCAGUACGACCACUCUCAUACACACAAUAUCCCAUUACCAUGUCAAAUUCUCCUUUAAAUAUCUCAAACAUAGCAGGUGUAUAUACUUUCGAAGUUUGUAUCAACAUCUGCACAUAUGGCACCUUCGGUGAUGUUUGACUCGCAUAGAAAUCACUUUCCACUUCAGCAUACCUUCUAUCAUCUACGGCCCUCUCAUAGUGCUUGAAGAAAUCUAAUAAAUCAAGGCGUACAUGCAGGUAUCGUUUCAAUAGUGCAUUCAUACUCUCGCUUCUUUGUGUGGAUUUCAUAUCUGCACAGAAGGUUUGUCGACCAUAAACCAAAGCCCACUUCUCCUUGUUCUGGAAUAAUCUAUGUAGCCAUUCAUUAUCUUUCAAAUUAUAUUUCACUAGCAUAUCAUUCCAACCUGCUAAGAAUUCAUCAACUUCUUCAAAAUCAUAAACACACUUGCCAAAAUCUUUCUUAAAUGUCUUUGAACCUUGGAAAACAUGACUCAAAUGUUUUGCAGCAUUCUGAUACAUGUGCCACACACAUAGACGAUGUAUUGAAUUAGUAAAAACCUUGCCAAUGGCACUAAUAAUGGCAGCACAUUGAUCGGUCAAUAUUGUAUUUGGUUCUUUUCCUGACAUGGCCCUUUUGAAUGUUUCAAACAACCAUUCAAACGUCUCAGAUGUUUCAUCAUACAAUAAUGUAGCUCCAAAAACCACUGUUUGUUUAUGAUGGUUGACACCAACAAAAGGGGCAAAUGGUCUGCCAUAACUAUUUGUCUUAAAGGUUGUGUCAAAGCAUACCACAUCACCAAAGUAGUGAUAAUCUAGUAUUGAUCUUGCAUCUGCCCAGAAUAUAUUGGUUAUCAUCUCAUCUUCAUCUACUUGUAUUGCAUAAAAGAAGGAAGGAUUUUCCAUCAGCUUGUCCUGAAGGUAUUGAAGAAUGGCACCCGUGUCUCCUUCUUGGAUGGAUUGCAUACGCUUUGAUCGGAGAUAAUUUUUAUAAUCUUUUUGACCGAAGCUAAGACACUGUCGACCCCCUGCUUGUCUACUCAUCACUUCAUGACCAGAUUUUGGUCUAAUUCCUGAAUCAUUCAAUAUGUCAAUUUGGGCCUUUUGACCUUCUGUAAUUUUUCUCUGGGAUCGCAGUAGAUGGGCUUUGCUUGGAGUUACGAGUUCAUGAUUAUGAGCAUCCUCAAAGCUGCUUACAACAUAUUUUCCGUUAGCACUUAUUUUGAUGGUCAUCUCUGCCAGACAACCAACUCUUGUAUCUGCUCUCUUUCUCUGACAUUGUUCCUUACUCUUGUCCUUGUAACCUGCCUUUGAGCAUACAUAUUUCUUUGUUCGAAUAACAUUAGUCGUCGAGGAUUUAUCAUGCCAAGAUUUCCUGACACUGAAACCUACAUGUCCUGCAUAUGUAUUGUAAAACUCAUAUGCUAUAUCAUCAUUCUCAAAUUCCAUUCCUAUCUCUGGUUUUAACCUUUUGAUGUAGUAAUCAUUUGUAUUUCCACCUGCCUCUCCCACAUUUGUGGUCUCAUGAUCUACACAACAUAAAAAUUAUCAUAUACUAAUUAGUUCAUGGAUGACACACAGAGUAAAAAUCACACGAUAUUCAGAGCCCUGGUUUUAGUGAAACCUGAAAAUCACACAAUAUUCACACAAUGAGCAUUAGCAAAAUAUUGAUCCUUUUCUUUGCUAGAACAUUCUCUAUCAUUAGAGUUAGCAAAAAGGAGAAUAUGUCAAAGGAGAAAUCUCAUGCAGUAAAGUUUAUAAUAAACUUAGGUGGUACUCUGAUGCAUAAUGUGCGCAACAUCACAGGAGUGAUCAGCACUAACAUAAUUAUAAUGCAAUUCCGAAGGAUUAAUUUGCAUGUGUUUGAAAGAAACUGGGCUACGGACCAUGAAGUACGGGGAGCUAUUUCUGAAGGAGUAAUUUGCAUGUCAUAGAUCAACUCUUUGUUUGUUUCUUUUAAUCUUAUCACCUUUGUAUGAUCAAGAGUGUUGAUAAUCUGUACAUUGCAGGUGCAAGAACAUUACCUCCGGACGAUGAACUGUGAAGAGCUCCGUCCAUGCUGAAGAACACUGUAGAUGUUGAUCCACGGAGAGGAAUAAAUUUCUAUCAAUCUUGAUCUAUUCUCCUGUGAUCCAGGGGCAACAAUGAACAAUGGAAUAGAUCGGUAGGAGAAAGGAUGAAGCCACGCAAGAGAUUUUGGCGGCAAUCUGUUGUAACGCGGGAGAGAAACAUGUCGUUUUCCUGAUUUUCUGGAACCUAACUGAUAUUAGAGAGAUACACUGGUUUUAUUAAGUGGUGGGUCCAUCGGGGACACGUGCUGGGCGCUGGUUGGCCCUGCACGAUAGUGCGUGCUGGGAACCCAGCAGGAGAGCCCGACCCGGUAUUACCUAUCUCCAGCCCCAAAUCACGCUGUUUCAUUCCGGGAUUGACCCAAGGGGGGAGGGAUUGAGAUUUCCAAUCGGGCACUGACAUCUGAGUAUCCGACAACCCUGAUGGAUUUUCUUUUCAGUGAAAAAUACUACAGUAAUUAUUCAAUUUUACUUGUUCUACUACGGAGUACAUAUUACAGGUUGCUGUCAAGUGUGAGCAGAGAUCAUCCCACAAACUGUUGAGUCUUAUGUCGACUACGGAAAAAUCCAUGCAGUCCAAGCUGUUGUCAAGUGUGAACAUGCGACGAAUAUGACUACAUACGUGAUUGCUGAACCUCUGCGUUUCAGGAUUUGACAAUAUAUGAUGUAUGUGGUCAUUGUUUUAGGUGCUCUCCUCCAGUCAUCAGGAAAACAAUUCCGUUUACACUGUCGAGAAACCGAUUUACGCCAAGUCACCAGGUCAAAGGUCUUUCUAUUUGAGCAGAUCGUUGAGUUUGGCCUGCUAUAAUUAAGAAGAGACUACUGUAUGGUUGCUCCUCAUCGGCUCUCACCUGAGUAGCCAGCACUGUCCAUUCCACGGCCAUGGUAAUUCCCCUCAUGAUACUCGCACUGAUCUUCUUGCUGCCAGCGCCCGUGCCCGCUUCCUCUCCCCUUCCUAGCAAAAAUGACACUGACCUCGCCGCCCUGCUUGCGUUCAAGGCGCAGCUCUCCGAUCCUAUUGGCAUUCCUGGUGCGAACUGGACCACCGGUACAUCCUUCUGCCACUGGGUGGGUGUCUCUUGUAGCCAGCAUCUGAGUAUCCGACAGCCCAGAUGGACGAUAACAUUUUUCAUUUCUGUGAAAAAUAUCACUAGAAUGCAUAAGACAAAUAACCAACUGCAGCUUGUGCAUCAACUUAAUAUCUAGAGUCAUUUUCGGAGGAAGUCAUGCAAUACUACUAGUCCACUUCACAAUUACAAGUUGUUGUCUAGUGUGGGCAGAGUUCAUCUCACAAUCUGUCAGAAUCUUGAGUCAGACAACGGAGAAAACCAUGCAGUCCAAGCUGUCAUCAAGUGUGAACAUGCGACAAAUAUGACUAGACCAAUGACUGCAUACGUGGCUGCCAAAUUCCUGAUUGCAGGAUUUGACAAUGAUGUAUGUUGUCGUUGUUAAGUUUGGCCUACUCUAUUAAGAAGAGAGUACUUACGGUUGCUGCUCAUAAGCUUGUACUUGAAAAAUAUAUCGAUGGAGGCACAACAAGGAAUAAUUUCUAGUUUCUUAUAAAAGAACUAUAUGAUUUGAUUUCACAUCUUUGACAAACAUCACCUUAUCAUCAACUCCACCACUUCCUAAUUGCCUUUCAUUUCAGCCACAUGGAAAGGAACAUGCCAAACAGGUUCUUCAACCAAUCUCUUGAUUGAUAUUCUGACUGGGAAACACCCGCAUGGUCACUAGUUAGUCAAUCCUUAGUCUACCCAUCCUGGUUUCCAACGACUAAACAAAGACUAGACCACCACAGUGGCCAACUGCGGGUCAACGCAUGGAGUCAAUACCUUACUUUUCUUAUCAACCUUUUCCAGUCACUGGCUAGGAUUAAGCUCAUGUACCGUGGAAGAGCUGUAUAAGUAAACCAUGUAGCAAUAGCAGCAGCCAUAUAACACUCUCCACAAAUCCCAAGCUCUUAAAUAGUGCGAGCACCCAGCACUGCCCAUGGCCAUGGCAUUUCCCCUCAUGAUACUCACACUAAUCUUCUUGCAGCCAGCGCCCGUGCUCGCUGCUCCUUCCCUUCCUAGCAACAAUGGCACUGACCUCGCCGCGCUGCUCGAGUUCAAGGCGCAGCUCUCCGAUCCUAUUGGCAUUCUUGGUCAAAACUGGACGACCGCCACAUCCUUCUGCCACUGGGUUGGCGUCUCUUGCAGUCGGCGUCGGCAGCGCGUCACCGCUCUCGUGCUACCAGGCAUGCCGCUCCAAGGGUUGGUCUCCCCAUAUCUUGGUAAUCUCUCUUUCCUCCAUGUCCUAAACCUCACCAACACAGACCUCACAGGAUCCAUCCCACCUGAUAUUGGAAGGUUGAGUCGUCUCGUCGUUCUUGAUCUUGGCCUUAACAGAUUGUCAGGAAUCAUCCCUCGUACCAUAGGAAACCUCACAAAGCUAAACUCCCUUGUUCUAGUAAAGAACGAUCUCUCUGGGAAAAUACCGCAUGAUUUGCACAACUUGGGCAAUCUUAGGCACAUAAAGCUUGGGACAAACUACUUAAGUGGCAUAAUACCAAAUCAAUUGUUCAACAACACGCCUCUGUUAGUUGGUCUUGGCUUUGGGAACAACAGCCUAUCAGGGCCAAUACCACCCGGUAUUGCUUCCUGUCCCAUGCUUGAGUACCUCAACUUGCAAGCAAAUCAGCUUUCUGGCCCGGUACCUCCAACAAUUUUCAACAUGUCCAGAUUACAGAUUAUGAGCCUCGUGGGCAAUCGGUACUUAACAGGAUCCAUCCCUAGCAAUCAAAGCUUUAGUUUGCCCAUGUUGCAACGGUUCCUUAUUGGUCGCAAUAAUUUCACAGGUCGAAUUCCAUCAGGACUUGCAUCAUGUAAACACCUCAGAGUUGUUUAUCUAUCCGAAAACUCCUUUGCAGACUUCGUCCCAACAUGGCUCAGUAAAUUGUUGCAUCUCACUAUCCUUAAUUUAAGUGGAAAUGACCUCAUCGGUUCAAUUCCAAGUGAGCUCAGCAAUUUGACUAUGCUCAGUGUGCUUGACCUCUCACGUUGUAGUCUGAGUGGAAAGAUUCCGGAUGAAUUAGGACAAAUGAGUCAACUCACGCUUUUACACCUUUCAGAAAAUCAACUGACAGGGUCCUUUCCAGCUUUUGUUGGUAACCUAUCCCAACUGUCUAGACUAUUACUAGAAUCAAACUAUUUAACUGGAGCAGUCCCAACAUCUAUGGGGGACCUCAGAGCCCUUGAGUGGUUUGAUAUUGGAAGCAAUCCUCUUGAGGGAACACUUGAUUUCUUGGCCACUUUCUCCAACUGCAGACAACUCCGAUACCUUGCCAUAUACAACUGUUCGUUCACCGGGAUCAUUCCUGAUCACAUUGGAAACCUCUCCAGAAGCUUGACACACUUUGAUGCAGGCACUAAUCAUUUAACUGGAGGUUUCCCAGCACCAAUAUCAAAUCUAAGUGAUCUAAAAGUAAUAAUCCUUUAUGAAAACCAAUUAAGAGGCCUAAUCCCUGAAUCCAUAACACUAUUGAAGAAUCUCGAGGCACUUGAUCUAACCGGGAAUAGCCUUUCUGGCUCAAUCCCAUCACAAAUUGGUACCUUAAAUAGAUUGCACAUAUUAUCUCUCCAAGAAAAUAAUUUUUCUGGUGCCAUACCAAAUGGUAUUGGUAAUCUAAGUAUGCUAGAAAUCAUUUCACUAGCAUAUAACCAGCUGUCUUCAACCAUACCUGAAAGCUUAUUCCACCUCAGUAACCUUCGUCAAUUAUUUCUAUCUAACAACUCCUUCACCGGUGAAUUGUACUCUGAUCUUGGUUCCAUGGAAGCAAUAGACACGGUAGAUAUAUCUGCCAACAGCUUGGUUGGUAGCCUUCCGACUUCAUUUGGACAACAUGGACUGUUAAGCUACCUUGAUCUAUCACACAACAAGCUGCAAGGUCCAAUCCCAGAAUCUUUCAAAAAGUUAGUUAACCUAGGGGCAUUGGACCUAUCUUUAAACAACCUUUCUGGUACUAUUCCGAAGUAUCUGGCCAACUUUACUUCUCUGACUAGCUUGAACCUCUCUUUCAAUAAGUUCCAAGGUGAAAUACCAGAUGGAGGUAUUUUCUCAAAUAUCAGUGCGGAAUCUUUGAUGGGAAAUGCCGGAUUGUGUGGUGCCCUGCGUCUUGGAUUUUCACCAUGCCUUGGCGAUUCUCACCCAACCAACAGACACUUGCUAAGAUUUGUGCUCCCGACUGUCAUAAUAACAGUUGGGGUUAUAACAAUUGUCUUAUGCCUAAUGUUCAGAAAGAAAAAUAAGCAGCAGCCAAAUGUUGCGACUUCUCUUGGUAUGGCUGAUCCGACCAGCCAUAGAUUAGUAUCCUACCAUGAGAUUGUUCGUGCCACUGAAAAUUUCAACAUGGACAACCUACUUGGAGUUGGAAGUUUUGGCAAAGUUUUCAAGGGCAAACUGGAUGAUGGUUUGGUGGUCGCGAUAAAAGUGCUCAACAUGCACUUUGAGCAGGCCGUGAGGAGCUUUGAUACUGAAUGUCAAGUGUUGCGGAUGGCUCGGCAUCGCAACUUGAUACAGAUACUGAAUACCUGUUCCAACUUGGAUUUCAGAGCUCUGCUGCUCCAGUACAUGCCCAAUGGUAGCUUGGAGGCACAAUUGCACUCUGGAAAUAGUGAACCACUAGGAUUCAUCAAGAGACUGGACAUUAUGCUUGGCGUGUCGGAGGCAAUGGAGUAUCUGCACCAUCAUCACGGUCAAGUUGUCCUACACUGUGACCUGAAGCCUAGCAAUGUGUUGUUUGAUGAGGACAUGACGGUGCACGUCGCUGACUUUGGCAUUGCGAAGUUACUUCUUGGCGAUGACAACUCCAUGAUCUCAGCAAGUAUGCCAGGGACAAUCGGGUACAUGGCCCCAGGUACGUACUUGCUACCACAUGCCAGCAAGCCUUGCAAAGGCACAACUAUCCCAAUGAAUUUUUUUCGUGGGUUAGCUUAUCACUUUGGUUAGCUCAUCCUAAUGAUUUUUUUUCUUGAACAGAGCUUGCAUACAUGGGUAAGGCUUCACGGAAGAGCGACGUGUUCAGCUUUGGGAUCAUGCUGCUCGAAGUCUUCACCGGGAAGAGGCCCAUGAAUCCCAUGUUUAUCGGGGAAUCCAGCCUCAGGCAGUGGGUUUCCCAAGCAUUUCCAGCAAGGCUCGUCGUUAUCGUUGAUGAGAAGCUGCUGCAGGGUGAAGAGAUAAGCAGCCAUGGCUUUCAUCAGCAGACCAAUAUUCCUCCAUCGGCAUCGCCUUCCACCGCCUCCAACACAAACUUUCUUGUAUCGGCGUUUGAGCUGGGUCUGGAGUGUUCGAGCGACUCACCUGACCAUAGGCCAAGCAUGGACGAAGUGGUCGUGAAGCUGAAGAACAUCAAGAAGGAUUGCUCUGCUUCCAUGGCAGCAAGGCUGGGGGUUCCGCAGCGUUGAUCAAUGCAUCGGGUUUUUUUCAUCCAUGGAAAAUAUGGUUGUGCUGCUAAAUAUUUCAGCAACAUCUGAAUAUUUGUAACGGAAGUUGGUUGUAAGCAAGUAAGCAACAGACAGUCAGUAGCUCCUGAAUCCUUGUAAUUUCAUUCAGUUGUAAUCAACAAUCAAACAGUCAGAAGCAGCAGCAAUUGAGUUCUCGUAACUGUAGUAAUGGACACACCAGUCUAUUGACUUAUUGUAAGUGCAAUACACACAGUUCAUUGCAAGUAAUACAAUUCAUGAGACCGAUGCAACAAUGCCUGCACAAUGAUGUGGCUGAUGAAGUAUAUUUAAUGGGAUAUAAGUGCAUAUAAAUGCCUGGUCUGUGGGAUUGUAGCACCUCACUCAGCCAAGAAACUGCCCGAUGAUCCUAGAUCAGUCAUAACAUCAGCCAAUGCACCGUCCAGAGCACUCCGGGUAGAAGAACAGGUAUAUGCGAGAAAACAAACUUUACCCCCAAUGCUCUCCCCCUAUUUGAUACCUCAAAAUCUAUGCCUGUGAAACAUGUUCCUCAACCAAUAGCGGUUCAAAUGUAUGUGCCAUGGUAUGUUCAUCGACUAAUUAAUGUUAUCAAUCGAUUGGAAAACAAGUCACAUUCUUUUAUAGUCAUCGAUGUUUCUUGAAGUAACUGGUUCAUCGAUGUUUCUUGAAGUAAUACAAAUCACUCUAAGUAAUACUCUCUCCGUCCCAAAAUAAGUGUCUCAAGCUUAGUACAAUUUUGUACUAAAGCUAGUACAAAGUUGAGACGCUUAUUUUGGGACAGAGGGAGUACGAUUCAUUAGGCCGACGAUCAGGUGUCCAAGUCUGCAUCCUACUCAUCUUGGCUGACAUCCUGCACUUGGUUCUGGCUGAACCUUUAUUAUGAACUCUCUCAGGUGGCUAACGCUCAGGUGUCCAAGUUGUAAUUGUGCAGUCUGCACGAUGGAGCAGGAGCACGUAGACAGUCUUUGUCCAGACUGAUCUCUCAGCUGGUUAUCUCCUAGCCUCAUUUCCUGGUGCUAGCCCGAUUAGCCUCACGUAGACAGGUUUAUUUAAGCUUCGACAUCUAGCUCUCAGCUCCAGAGACCUCCCGCUCAGACCCCCUGCUCGCCGCCCUUAGCUCAUGCCGCCGCUGACCAAAUGACAUAUUCAAUAUGUAGCUUGCAGACAAACAAAAUAUUUGCACAUAUUUGAAGAUUUGAUUUAGCUUCAACCUUUGAAUCCACAAGUGCAGGUGUACAUAAAUAGCAAGAUGCUGGUACUACGCUAUCAUGCCUGUUGUUCUUUCGUUUUGUUUCUCCGAAUGAAGGCAAUGUUAAUAACACAAUUCGACAUGUUGUUGCAAUUUCCACAUGGGGUUAAUACCCACGAAAAAUGUAUGGAUCACUAACCACCACUAAUUUACCGAUAACCAAUCAUUGAAUAGCAAGUCUCCAGCAAAAAUUGAGUGAGGCCACACUAAAGUUAUCGGCAAGAUUUAAAAGAAACAUAGCAAAAGGUUUGCAUUUUUCACUGAUUAAGGAGUUUCAAGCACAAAAAGAGAACUAGACAUAAAAGGCUAAUAAAGCAUACUCUCCAGACAUAGAGUUACGCAUGUUCUGCUCCCGCACUAUGCCAAUUUGCCAAUUGAUCCUUGAUCAAAAGACUUUAUUUGAAUAGAAAAGCCUCUUGUCCAUUUUAUAUUGAUUGGCGUAAUAUGGAUAUAAUGUUUUGAGAGGAUGUUGAGUUGUACCUUUCUCAUCUUCUGCAUGUAGAAAACAAAAUCAAGAGCGAUUUCCUGUCAUGACAUAACAGUAGGAAAUAUUAUAAUGAUUUUACAGUGCCUAUGUUCUAAUGUGAUCAGCAGAAAACAUUUCAAUAGGCAAUCACCAAAACAUGACAUUGUGGUUUUUUUGUGUACUUUGCCAAUGUAAAUGUGAUUCAAUCUUAGACGACUAAGGAGUCGAAAAAAACUACCAUGCCAAAAAUGAUGAGAAUUUAAUCUUAUCCUUUCAUUGAUCGAGAGCAAUUUAGCAAUGUAAACAUGCUACAUGUAUCAUGUUUUAAAAAGAAUGUAAAGAUAUUUAAUUAUGUCAUCCCCAAGUACAGUGGCAACACAUUACUGAGCUUGAGAUGGUGCUUCUGAGACUAGAUCUGGGAACGCAGCAGAUUUCAAACUCAGGUCCCCUGGGCUUAUUCACACAGACGGUCAUGAAAUCCAUCAAAGAUGGGGUAUUUUCCCCGUCAAUAAUGGAUGUACAUUUUCACAAAAAAAUGGAUGUACAUGGGUUGUUAAUCACGUGUUUCUUUCAUACACAGAAAAAAGUGUAACUAUAAAGAACAUUAUUUUCUGAGUUGUUUCCAUCUAACAAAUCUUGUACGAUAGAAUUAUUAUUAUUAUUUUAUCUGGUGAUUUUUUUUGCAAUGGAAACAAAUUCUAAAAUAAUUAUGACCAGGCUAUUGUUAUAAAGCCAUUAUUCCCUUGUUAUUAUUUCCUCAUUUGAACGAUGUGCAAAGCAUUAAUAUUAAACUCAUAAGGUGUAAUACUAAACUCAAUAAGGUGUUAUGGUUGGAAUUCCCCACCACACAGGCUUAAGAAGGGUGGUCCGGAUUCGUUCCGGUAAGUCCACCACCCAUGGUGCAAGACAAUUGAGCCAAAAAGGAUUCACCAUUAUUAUCAUUAAAAUGGAUCACAAAUGAGAAGUACAAAUUGCAUAUACUUUCAUUAGAAAAAUGAUGUCAAACAGAACUACAAUUAGUGAAGAAAGUAAAUGAACUAAUGUAGACUUAUAAAAAUCAGUGAAUGACUAAUAAUGGGAAUGCAUAAAUAAGUAAUUUAAUAAGAUAAAAUUACAUAAUGUUAUCAAGAACAUGAGUGCAUUUCUUUCUCACAAACUAUUUGUAAAUAACAAAUCCUGUAUGACAGAAAAAAACCGUGUGAUGGAAACAUUUUGUUACUGUAACAGGAAAUUAAGAGCAGGCUAAAAGUUAUAAACAAUUUAUUGCUUAUGAUUUAAUUCCUCUUAAGAACAAUGGGAAAAAUCUAAUUGAUAUUAUCUGCCCCGCUAAGAGGUAAAUACUUGACUCAUAUUUAGGAAGGAUCUAAGGUCGUUAUGGUGGAAUUGAGUUGAUCCCGGUACAGUUUGUCGAUAUUAUAUCAUUAAAAUGGAUAAAGAAUGAGAAGAGCAAACUGCAUAAAUUUUGAUAAACAAAUACAAUGUAAUAAAAACUUAAUUAGUGAGUUCUGAAAAAAAUCACUAGAUGACUAAUAUUUGAAAUGCAUAAAUGACUAACAUAACAACUUAAAAUUAUAUAAGUGAAAACAAAGAGAAACAAGCAAAUACUUUCACCAAAUUUAUACUCCUAUAAAGUAAAAAAAAAUACACAAGGAUAUGAAUACACACACGCGCGCGCGCGCACACACACAUGUUGCAUGAAUGUGUGAAAUAGUAUAUUUACCCCUGUUGUUUGUGGGAAAUCCAGUUUGGGCUUGUUUCGAUUCAUAUAGAUUUCUCUCUUCACUGCAUUUCUCAUAUUUCGUAUCUCAUUGCCGUCUUCACCAUUUCUGAACUCAACAUUGAUAUGCUCAAGUGAAGAGAGAUUCUCUAAACCGAACAUAGGAGCACCAAACUGAACCAAUGAGUUAGGGACAUCUUUAAAUUCUAACCGCAGGGUUUGGAGACUUUGCAUGGCUCCCCGUGCAAACAUUAACUCCAUGGUUUCACUCUCGACUCUGAACCUCAUUAGACAUUGAAAUAGGUAGCGACCGUCAAUGACCAGCCGUUUAUCUCUGCCUUGUGUAGGUUUCUUCACUUGUAUGUGCAGUUCACUGAGAGACAGUAUACUGCCUAAGACUUGAAGAUCCUCCUCUCCCAGUUCAAGUCUGAUACUUAGGGAAAAGAGGCAACACAUGGAGCAGAUCCACCUUGGCACUGCACAAGUGAUGCUAUCAAGCAUGUGGAGUAACAACAGACGUGUUAACUGAAUAAUGGUUGACGGCAGCUUUUCAUCUAUUUCAGUGGACCUUAUGUCCAACACUUCAAGAAAUUGCAGAUCCGCAAUACCUUUCGGGAUCUUAGUGAUAGAUGUACCUUUUAAACUCAAAUAUCUCAAGUGAAACAAACUGCAUAUAUCCUUCCAAUGAUUAUUAUCCACUUGCUUGCAGUCAGUUAAAUCCAGCACACGUAGGAUUGGAAAACCCGUAAGUGCUGGCAACAAACUGAAAGCGAGACUAGACACAGUAAGUGCCCUUAUAUAGGACAAGCUCAUGGUUGGAAGCUGAUUAGCAACCUCUUCAAUGUUGGUCUGGACAGACAGUCGGCGGAUUUUACUUGGUAGAUAGACUGGUUGCUGACAACCUACUAUCGUUACGAAGUUCUCCUCAGUUGACAAGGAAGUGAUGAGGUCACGCACCAUGUCGUGUAUGCGACAAGAGUGUACUUUAUUCCCAUUGUCGAUUUUUACAGGUUGGACCAAACUUUUAUUAAUGAGCUGGUCAAAGUAAUCCUCUCCUACUUCACAUAAGCUCCUCCCAUGUUCUUUUUUCACAAAACCUUCACCCACCCAUUUCCAUAUCAACCGUUCAGUUUGAAUCUCAUAAUCCUCUGGAUACAAACAAAGAUGCAGUAUACAAGUCUUGAGGUGUGGAGGUAGGUCAGAGUAACUGACGGAUAAUAUCCUCCUCAUGUUCUUCACAUCAUCAUGACCAUUGUCUAACCCUGAACCCAAUGAUUUGUACACCUUGGACCAAUACUCUUGUGUAUGUUCUCUUUCCGUUUUGCUGGACAGCAAGCUACCUAUUGUAAUGAUAGCUAACGGCACUCCACCACAUCUUCUUAAAAUUUUCUCAGAUAUUUCAAACAAUUGAUUAGGUGGUGAUUUGUUCUCGGUCUCAUAUAUUCUUUGGUGGAACAACUUUCUUGAGUCAACAACAGAAAGUGGUUCCAGCCGAUAAACAUCACCAGCUUGCUCGGCAAUAUUAAGAAUGCGAGUUGUUGUGAUUACUCUACUUGCAUGCUCAUUCACUGUCAACGAAUAUUUGAUGUUUUCCCAGACAGAUUUAUCCCAUAUGUCGUCAAUAACAAUCAAGUACCUUCAAUUAAUAUCAAAACACAUAUAUUAAGAUUUAAAAGUCUAUAUAAGCUAUCAUAUUUCAAGCAGAAUUGAGCUACUUCAUCAGGGCUAAGCAAAUGCAAAUUCAGAGUCUGUAGCACUGCAGUUUCCCUGUGACGUCCAGAUACGAAACAAUGAGGGAGGAACACACACGCAUAUACGUACUUCUUGUUUUCAAGAAAUGUUCUUAUCUCACUGAUGAGUUGUGCUUCGCCCCAUGCAGCCUCGUUGAUAUUCUCGUACUUUUGCUUGUGAAGUUGAUGGAGCAAGCUCUUGAAAAUUUUCUCCAUGUUAGGAUUAAGAGACAAGGAAACGAAAGCCGUAAAAUCGAAAUGCACUUUAAGCUUCUCAUACACUGUAUUAGCCAGGGUUGUCUUUCCUAAUCCACCAAGUCCAGCAAUAGAGACCACCCGAAGCUGUUCCUUGGAAAUCUCAUCUCCCUCAGUCAGCAUCUUGAUUACCUCAAGGCUCUUCUUGUCUGUGCCAACGAGGUUGGUUGCCUUUUUAUACAAGGUUGAUAGGCGAAGGGCAUCAACAGUUUGUCUGGUUGGCUUGGUAACCACACUGUCAACCUUGUACCUAUAACGGCGCUCGCUGACCUCCUUGAUACGGCUCUUGAUAUCUUUGAUAUCGAUGCCGAUCUUGUGGUGAAUCUUGCCCUUGGUCAGUAGGCUGAGACUCUUAUCAAUGAAAUUCCUGAAGCUAUGCGACUUCUCUGGUUCAUGGGUUUCGAUGCGCACCAUGAACUUGUCGAUGCUGUCUUCGAGGUCGUACGACAGGUCCCUCACAGCCUUGGCCCAAAGCUUGACUUGGAUGUCCGGUGGCUGGUCGAUCGGUGCCUCGGAAACCUUGAGGAGAGCCGUCUGCAUGCUCUCCAUCUCGGCUUUGAGGAACAUGAUCUCGCCCCUGACACCCCUCUGAAGGUUGUACUCCUUGGUUAUUAGGUCAGCUAGCUUGGGCAUGAGGGUGCCCUUCGCUCCAAUCACGGCCUAGGCCAUGCUCGGCUUGAGCUCUAGCUCAGCCUCUCAGCAUGCUGCAGAUGUUUGCGGAAGCAGAAGAAGGGAGAUGGUGGUGGCAAUCUGCUCUGCUGCGUGGAUGAAGCUUCGUCUUGCACUACACCACGUAAAGAAUCACAGAAUGAGUAGUCAGGAGCUAACAAGUCAAAAGUUCAGAAUGAAUUCAAACAGACCGACAUCUUGCCUGAGAGAGGUGAGUGCACUGAUGGAAAAAAAUUGGGGAAUCUAAAGCUGGGCCUUAGAUUCAGAGAAGAGAUGGAGCAAUCUGAAAGAAAAGAAAAAGGUGGUAACUGAAUCGUUUGCGAAAGCAAUAAUUUCAAGACAUUCAUCAUAUGACAAGCUGACAACACUUGAGAUCUUUUCUGGGUAACAUGAUGGAACUUAACAGCAUCCGGAACAUGAUUAAGCAUCCUGAACAUGACUAAGUAGUCCUCAGCUGUUGCAGUCAUGGCUGAACUGCUCUCGGCCUUUCGCUUGGUUUUCUUUGUGAGUUCCCCUCGGUAAGCUCUCUUUUGUACUUCCUAGCCUAAGCAUAUACCAUGGGUCAACGUUGACACACAACUUAGCCAUACAUUCGACUUAAAGAGGUGCCACAUGGCACCGCGGUUAGGUUAAGCCAGCCGUUAUCCCGCUUUUUUUCGCCGAGAGCCACGGCUUUAUACUCGGCUUAUAUAUAAACUAAGUACCGGUGAAGUGACACUCUCCUUACAGUGCCUAAGUCGAUACUCCCUCCGUCCCAAAAUAAAUGACUCAAGUUUGUACUAACUUGGUACUAAAGCUAGUACAAAGCUGAGUCACUUAUUUUGGGACGGAGGGAGUACAAAUUAAGCCAAGUACUAUAGCCGAGUGUUGUCUUCCCCGAGUAUGUUUCAUACUCGGCUUUAUUUUUUUCCCCUGUAGUGUAGCACUAUAAAAUAUCAAUCUUAGAGAGAGAUAUAGGGUUUACAAGUCAUGUGCUUGCUAAUAAAUAUUGACAAGAUAUUCAAGUAGUAAGACGACAUAUUAUCCAAUAAUUCGCAAACAUAGGAAAAUAUAAUAAUCUAUGGUGUAUUUUCAACAUCGCCAACCAGAAGCCAAAUCAAUUUGAACUUGGAAAAUUUCAAUUCUGCCGUCUGAAUGUUGGAACAGGAGCAUGUUAGACUGCUUCAGCUGAGCCCUGUGGCUAUCUCCUCAAGAUCAGUGGCUUCAUUUCCAGAAGCAAAGACAGGUUUAUUUAAGCUUCCACAGCAACCUCUUAUCUCUAGUUUCCUAGUGAAUCGAGAUACUGGGUGAAUGUUUCUAUCUUCUGCUUCUUCAGCUGACCAAAUGACACAGUUAGGUGGUUACUAGACGAAUAAAAUCUUUGCAAAUUUAUUUGAAUCCACAAAAAAGCAGGUGUACACAGUAAGGUGCUGGUAUUACACUAUUCCUCUUUGUGAGUAAGCGGAAAAAAAUACAAUUACUUUAUCAAGCAUGUUAUUGUUUCCAUCCCUGAGUGAGGUGAGAUCCCUUGCAUGCUUGAAACAAAUUACAAAUGACGUCAAUGUUGUGGAUUUUUCUGUAUCGGGUAAUAAAAAAUUAUCGACUUCACUAGAAGACUAUUGGUACAAUAGCAAGCCUCUAACAAAUAAUUGAGAUAGGCCAUGUUCAAGUUUUCAGAAAGUUUUUUGGGUGCUUAAAAGGCUAGCCAUAUAAGAUUAACAUUUUUUCAAUCAUUAAGGACUUUCAAGUGUAAUACUAAAGAUAUUGAUAAAAGGCCAACAAAAGCCUACUCUCCGUGCAUGGGGUUACAAGUGUUUUUGUUCUGUCCUUGACCAGAAUGACUUUAUUUUGAAUAGAAAAACAUCUUCUCCAUUUGAAUAUAAUAUAAUUGGCUUAAUUUGCAUAUAAUGUUUUGAGAGGAUGUUAAGUCGUACCUGUAAAUAGAAUCUCUUGAUGAAUUCCUCAGCAUGUUCCUAUCAAACAAAAAAUGAAACAUUAUAAUGUUUCGUAGUAUCUAUGUUUUAGUGUGAUCAGCAGAAAACAUUUCAACAAGCAAUCAACAACAUAUCAUGACAUUCUGGUUACGCAUGUGUACUUGGUUAGCAUAGAAGUGUCAAUCUUAUGUGACGAUUAAGAAUUUAACAAAGCUCUAUGAUACCCUACAUAUACCUCUCCUCGAAUGAAUGAUAGGCAUGUAAUCUUACUCUUGCAUUGAUCAGGGACAAUUUGGCCAUGUAAGAACGCAAAGCGUAAUAUGUUUUAAUAUGAAUGUAAACAGAUUUAACUAUCUCAUCGUAGUGUAUACGAGGGACUUCUGAAGUUAUCCCAUAUAUGCUAUAUCUAGAAAUAUGUUUUCCUUCAGACAAACCUAGACAAGCUUCAAUGGUACCAUGACUUUGGCACGUCUCCAAGCGACAAAAUGCUUGGGGCACGUCAUCUCAGUGGUAUCCAAUCCGGCAGCAGUGUGUCUCCGAGAUCAUGAUGGUGCUUCAGAGAUCAGAUACCAGGCAACAAGAGCAGAUCGAGCCCACGGCCAGCUGUCUGGUAGUUUUAUUGUUGCAUUUUGAUCUCCCUAUCUCGCAUAGGUAUCAAUCAUGGCUGUAGUCAUAAGUGACAGAGAUGUUCUAACAGUCGUGAAAUCUGUCACAGAUGGAGGGUAUUUCACCCGUCAUCAAUAGAUGUAUGUGUACCAGUGGACAUUUUGUAAUCUCGUGUUGCUUUAUUAUGCAGCAAAAACAAAUCUGUCAGAGAUAGAGAACAUUUUGCCCUUCACUAAUAGGUGUAUCUGUACUAGGUAAUCACGUGUUGCCUUAAUAUGCAGCAAAAAAGGCACAAUAUAAGCAUUAUUUUCCAAGUUAUUUCGAUGUUACAAAUCUCACGUAAUAGAAUUAUCGUUUCUCCGUCUGAUUAAAAAAAGUUUCGUGCAACAGAAACAGGUCAUAAAAUAACUUCCUUGUUAGGAAAAUGUGCAAAGUCUAGUUAAUAGUGAAUAGUAGCUUAUGCAUAAGAUGUAACACUAAACACAUAUUAUCUCAUUAGAUAACAUGUUAUAGUGGGAAUUUGCUACCAUAUGGGCUUAUGAAGGGUGGUUCGACUUCGUUCUGGAUAGUUCACCACCCAUGCUUAACCGUUGGUAGAGGUCCUCAUAUGCUCGACUCCUUGCUUCACCAACAGCUCGCUUUGCGGCCUUCUUCGCCAUCUUGUACUUCUCUAUGUUGUCUGCACUCCUAUUCAGGUAUAGGCGUCUGAAGCAAUCUUUCAUCUCUUUAAUCGCCUUCUGGACAUCAUCGUUCCACCACCAGGUAUCCUUAUCUUCGCUUCUCCUUCCCCUGGACACUCCAAACUCCUCCGAGGCCACCUUACGAAUGCAAGUCGCCAUCUUCGUCCACACAUUGUCCGCAUCCCCUCCCUCCUCCCAAGGGCCCUCCUUAAUGACCCUCUCCUUGAACACCUGAGCUACCUCCCCCUUGAGCUUCCACCACUUCGUUCUAGCGACCUUGGCACGCUUAUCCCGCUGGACACGAAUCCGAAAGCGGAAAUCAGCAACCACCAGCUUAUGCUGGGGUACAGCACUCUCUCCAGGUAUCACCUUGCAGUCUAGGCACGCACGCCUAUCUUCUCUUCUCGAGAGGAUGAAAUCAAUCUGGCUAGAGUGUUGGCCACUACUAAAAGUCACCAGAUGUGAUUCUCUCUUUCUAAAGAGGGUGUUAGCUACAAUCAUGUUGUAGGCUAGAGCAAAGCUUAAGACAUCUUCUCCUUCUUGAUUCCUGAUGCCAUAGCCAAAGCCCCCAUGCGCCCCUUCAAAACCUGUGUUAGAUGUACCCACGUGGCCAUUGAGGUCUCCUCCUAUGAAGAGCUUCUCACCAAUCGGUACACUCCUAACCAUGUCUUCCAGGCCUUCCCAGAACUCCCUCUUGGUGUUCUCAUUGUGGCCUACUUGCGGGGCAUACGCGCUGAUAACAUUGAGAACCAAGUCCUCAACUACCAGCUUGACCAGGAUAAUCCCACGUCUCUUGACGUCUACCACUCCAUACUUGAGGCUCUUGUUGAUCAAGAUGCCUACGCCAUUUCUGUUUGCAGCCGUCCCCAUGUACCACAGCUUGAAGCCGGUAUCCUCCACCUCCUUCGCCUUCUGUCCUCUCCAUUUGGUUUCUUGGACGCAAAGGAUAUCAACACCUCUCCUCACCGCUGCAUCAACUAGCUCCCGAAGCUUCCCUGUCAGAGACCCUACAUUCCAGCUACCUAAGCGAAUCCUCCUAGGCUCGGCUAGCUUCCUUACCCUUCGCACUCGUCGAGUCAAAUGCGAAGACCCAUGCUCAUUUUCCACUACAUCCGGGCGCCGAUGUAGCGCGCCACUAAGGAUGUGACGACCCGAUCCUCGCUCACUUGCCACCGUAUCCGGAUCAAGAUAUGGCGCGCCACUUGGGGGGUGACGACCCAGCCCUUGCCCAUUUUCCAACACACCCGGGUUCCGAUGUGGCGCGUCGCUGAGAGGGUUACGCCCCAAUGAAAAUUGAAAAAUAUAAUAAUAGAUGACUAAUGUUUCAAAUACAUACAUAAGUAUCCUAAUACAAUAAAAUUAUAUAAUGUUAAGAAGAAUAGAACCAAACGUAUACUUCCACUGAUUGCAUAUAAGGUGUAGAAGUAUACACAAAUUUAAAGAAACAUAUACAUGUUGCUUGACAGUGUGAACAAAUAUACUUACGUCAACGGCAUCUGUUUGUGUGAAAGUUAGUAUGGGCUUGUUUUGAUUCAUCUCAACCUCUUUCUGAACAACAUUUCUCAGCAUUUGAGUCUCCUCAUCACUGUCUUCUUCGUCGAAGGGGAACUCAACAACAAUAUGCUCAAGCAAAGAGAUAUUCUCUAAACCAAAUACAAGAUCACCAAACUGAGAGAAUGUGUCAUGCACAUUAUCUAAAACUAACAGGAGGGUCUGUAGACUUUGCAUGGCUCCCCGUGCAAACUUCAACUCCAUGGUGUCACCCUUGACACUAAACCUCUUUAGACACCGAAAUGGAUAAGCAUUGUCAAUGACCAACCGUUUGUCUCUACCUUGUGUAGGUUUCUGCACUUGUAUGUACAGUUCACUGAGAGACGGUAUGUUCCCAAGUACUUGAAGGUCUUCUUCUCCCAUUGUUUCAAGUUUGAUACUAAGAGAGAAGAGGAAAGACAUGGAACACAUCCACCUAGGUACUGCACAAGUGAUGCUGUCAGCCAUGUGGAAUAACAAUAGUUGUGUUAGUUGAAUAAAGGUUGACGGCAGCUCUUCUUCUAUUUCAGUGCACGAGCUGAUGUCCAGCACUUGCAGAAAUUGCAGAUUUGCAAUCUCUUUCGGGAUCCUGGUGAUAGACGUUCCCUUUAAACUCAGAUAUCUCAAGUGAAACAAACUGCAAAUAUCCUUCCAAUUAUUAUUAUCCACUUGCAUGCAGAAUGUUAAAUCCAAUACACGUAGGACUGGAAAACCCGAAAGUGUUGGCAACAAACUGAAAGCUGGACUAGACACAGUAAGUGACCUCACAUUGGUCAGUCCCAUGGUUGACAAUUGAUUAACAACUUCUGGAAUGCAGGUCUGGAUGGACAGUCGGCGGAUCUUACUUGGUAGAUACUCUGGUUGCGGAUCACCUAUUCUUGUUAGGAAAUUCUCAUCACUUGACAAGGAAAUGAUGAGGUCACGCACCAUAUCGUGUACAUGACAAGAGCACACUUGAUUUGCAUUGUCAAAUUUUGCAGGUUGAACCAAACUUUUAUUAAUGAGCUCAUCCAAAUAAUCCCCUCCUACUUCAUACAAGCUCUUCCCCUGUUCUUUUUUCACGAAACCUUCACCCACCCAUUUCCAUAUCAGUUGUUCUGUUGCAAUCUUAUAAUCCUCUGGGUAUAGACUAAGAUGCAGUAAACAAGUCUUUAGGUGUGGUGGUAGGUUAGAAUAACUGACUGAUAAUAUCCUUCUCAUGUUCUUCACAUCAUCAUGAUUAUUGUCUAGCCCUGAACUAAUAGAUUUCUGCACCUUGGACCAAUACUCAAGUGUAUGUGCUCUUCCCUUUUUGUUGGACAGCAAGCUACCUAUUGUAAGGAUAGCUAGCGGCACACCCCCACAUCUUUCUAAAAUGUUCUCAGAUACUUCAACCAAUUGACUAGGUGGUGACUUGUUCUCCAUAUCAUAUAUUCUUUGAUAGAACAACUUUCUUGAGUCCACAACAGAAAGAGGAUUCAGCCGGUAGACACCACCAGCUUGCUGGGCAACAUCAAGGAUGCGAGUUGUUGUGAUUACUCUACUUUCAUAUUCAUUCUCAAUCAACGCAUAUUUGAUGUUUUCCCAGACGGACUUAUCCCAUACGUCGUCAAUAACAAUCAAGUACCUUCAAUUAAUACGAAAACACAUAUAUUAUAAGGCUAAGUUCUCACACAUUGAGCAGAAUUGAGAUACACAACACAGUUUAACUUAAAUGGCAAAGCAAAUAGAAAACUUGAGAGUUCUGAACUAUUGUAGUUUUUAUGGCGGCGACACAUAUGCACAUACGUACCUCUUGUUUUCAAGAAAUGUUCUUAUUUCACGGAUGAGUUGUUCUUCGCCCCACAAUGCCUCAUUGGUGUUUUGAAUCCUAUGCUUGUCAAGUUGAUGGAGCAAGCUCCUGAAAAUCUGCUCCAUGUUAGGAUUAAGAGACACGGAAAUAAAAGCCGAGCAAUCGAAUUGCAGUUCUUGAUUAUCUUCUUGCACUUUCAGCUUCUCAUAGACGGCAUUAGCAAGGGUUGUCUUUCCUAAUCCACCAAAUCCAACAAUAGAGACCACCUUCAGCUGUUUCUGGGAAACCAUGUCUCCCUCAGUCAGCAUCUUGAUUACCUCAACGCUCUUCUCGUCGGUGCCAACAAGCUCCGUAGCCUUUCUAUACAAGGCUGACAUGCGAAGGGUAUCAAUAGUUGGACCAAGUGGCUUGGUAGCGGCCACACUGUCAACCUUGUACCUAUCACGGCGCUCGCUGACCUCCUUGAUGCGGCUCUUGAUGUCUUUGAUAUCGAUGCCGAUCUUGUGGCGAAUCUUGCCCUUGGUCAGCAGGCUGAGGCUCUUAUCAAUGAAAUUCCUGAAGCUAUGGGACUUAUCUGGUCGGCCAUGGGUUUCGAUGCGCACCAUGAACUUGUCGAUGCUAUCUUCCAGGUCAUAUGACAAGUCCCUCACCGCCUUGGCCCAAAGCUUAACUUGGAUGUCCGGUGGCUGGUCCAUUGGCGCCUCAGAUAUCCUGAGGAGAGCUGUCUCCAUGCUCUCCAUCUCGGCUUUGAGGAACAUGAUCUCGCCCCUGACACCCCUCUGAAGGCUGUACUCCUUGGUGAUUAGGUCGGCUAGCUUGGGCAGGAGGGUGCCCAUCGCUCCAAUCACGGCCUGGGCCAUGCUUGGCUUGCGCUAUAGCUCAGCCUCUUUGACGGUGUUUGCGGAAGCAGCAGAGGGAAAAGGGUGGCGGUGAUCUGCUGCGUUGAUGAAGUGCAACCUUAACUUCGUCCUAAAGAGCCGCAAUAUGAUUAGUCAGGAGCUCGAAGUCAAAACGUUGGAACAGAAUGAAGUAAAAUAGACAGAUCAUGAUGAAAGGAGAAAGCCGCGAAGAUGGAGACCUGUCCGCUGGAUCUUGCAGUGAGAGAGUAUGGAGACUUGGAGAGUGAGCAGUGAGCGCACUGGGGAAAUUAUGGGGAACCUGAAGCUCAGUCUUUAGUAUCAGAGCAUAUAUACAGCAACCGGAAACAAAAGAAAGCAUUUAGUUUCAACAUGUUUUCUGAGUAGAAUGAUGGAACUUAACAAAAGGCUAAACACAAUUAAGAAGCAGCAGCAGAUUCUUAUGUUAACAAGCUACCGAUCAAGCAACCAGCUUAGAGUUUCUUAGGGGAAGAAGAGGAUGGUGAUUAGCUAGUAUCCUGAGAGCCCUGCUGCGUGUGAGCUCGGACUCAAGAGGAUGGUGGGCACCGUGAAAGCUAGAUGAAGCUCAGAUCUGAAUCAGCGUCCUAAUCUAUAUUAGCUUUACACCUAACGAGGAGUUAAAUUAUGCGGGAAUCCUGCUGGUUUGUCUGCUUUUAACGUAUCUGCUGUCAAAGUCCAGUCUACAGAUUGGUAAAAAUUAAAAAAAAUAAAACAAUACCCCUUCCCCUCAAUUGAAACGCUCACGCGCUUUAAAACUGUAAUCCUUUUAUCACCAAAAAAUGGCUGUGGAGACUCCUGCUUCAUCACAUUAAUUCAUUAAUUUAAAUAUAUACAGAGCCUCUAUAUUUUAUUAAAUUAACAUACAAAAUGAGCAUCUUUCUGAUCUUAGAUGCGCCAUGAUCUCGCAUUCUAAUGUUUAUACUGUUAAACAGAUCGACAUCUGUGUGAUUAUGCGACAUUGCCUCCACUUCUGUAUGAACUAUGCAGUUUUGGAUCUAAAUAGCAGAUCAAAAAAUGCAGCAGACAGUCCUUGUAUCAGGAAUAUAGCAGUCAUUAUUUUGAAAAAAAGUGCUUUCAUACUUUAAACUAGCAAAGCGAGAGAGAUAUUGGGGCCUGGGCUGUACCCAAGGUCCAAUCUCCGGCUCAUACGAGUACUAGUAUAUUACAACAACCGUGUCUCUUUCCACACAAUUCGAGGUUGAAGGCAGAGCACUGUGUAGACUACUCCUAGUAUAAUCAUUACACAGGUAUAGAAAUUUCAAGGUAAUUUGGUGUUGGAAAACCGAACGGCAGAGUAUAGUUGUGCGCAUAUGGACAACCCAUAAAAAUGGAAAAGGUAGUUUCGUGUUGACACGGAAUGGUAGAGUAUAAAAAUGUGCUACACUAUAUGAGUAUAUGGAGAGAAAAAACAUAAAACUAGAAAAAGCCAAAGGAAAAGUAUGAUAUUUUAUCUUAUUACUUGAAUAAGUUUUAUCAAUAUGUAUGUGGCUUUUGGCAACACACCAUAGUAGCAAUCAUGUGGCCUGUUUUCUAAGCGAAUAUUUUAAUGUGGUCCUUAAUUAGUCGAUGGGCAAUAGAUAUUGAAAUAUCAAACCAGGGGAUCUAUCUAGGAUGAAGUUUGUUUUCUCAUAUACUUUACCUUGGGAGCAUGUUACCCUGCUACCUAUUUUGUCAGAAACUUCACCUCCUGAAGUAACAAAGCCAAAUCAAAUAUCCCUUAUGACUUUUUUUUCUGGGGACCCUUAUAAGGUUUUGAAAGGUGGUUGUGCGGAUGUGACACACAUCAAGGGUGAUCUUAUCAACAUGAAAAAAUAAAUGAAAUGAUGACAAGUCAGAAGACAAGGUGUCGUCUUUAUCAUCUCUCUCCAUGUUUCUCAGCUAUUUCUUAUGGCCUUAUCGCCGUUUCGUUGCCAUCAUGCUUCUCUCUCUAUUGCUAUGCAAUCACACUAGCAUCUUCUCCAGCUAUAAUGAAUCUUUGUCAGGGUUGCCGUCGCCUUCGGUGAAAGGAUAUCGACAUAUUAAGCAGGGCUGUCUUGUUAGGCCUCUGUUAGGUGUGACCCUUCUGACAAAACAUCAUGAUCAUAAUCAUAAAUGGAUUUGUAACAAUUGUAGGCUUAAUUUACAGGAUUGAUUCAACUCUAGCAGAGACACCGCCUUGUAUAUAGCUUGAUCCUACCUAGUACCUAACAGUCAUUUUUAGAUCCAUAGAGAAACUUUGAACAAAUGCUCAACUAUAGUAGAUGCGAUUUUUUUUUCAGCUACUAUGCACAACACUGUGUUGGAUGGAUUUAUUUCCCUUGGAAGCAAAGGAUAUAAAUGGCACUCUAACACAGCCUACAUACAUACUGAUUAACAACACAAAAUAUUCAUAAUGUCUCUGUACCAUACCUGCUAAAGUUGUACUACUACUACUACUACACCGGAAGAAUCGAAUGUCUUAGGGACCAAAUGCUCAGUCUCCGUGUAAGAGUGAAGCAGUGAGUACACCUGAUGGGGAAAAUCUGGGGAACAUGCAGCUCAGUCUUAGUUUCAGAGCAGAUAUACAGAAAUCUGGUUUGUUUAUCAUUUUGGUUGGUAAAUGAAUCGCUUGAGAAAGCAAUGAUGUAAGAUAUUUUGCAUAACAUGACUGAUUAACAUGCUUCACAUAUUUCUGAGUACCAUGAUGGAACCCUUAACAGCAUCCUCAGCACGAUUAAGCAGCAGCAGCAGCGGUUUCUUAAGCAAACAAGCUAGUGAUCAUGCGAGAAGAUCGAGCACAUGCAAAAGCACCCAACUUAGUUUCUCCGGUGAAUAAGUUCUCAAGGAGAAGAAGAUGGUGAUUACCUAGAGCAGCCGAGUUGCCUGCGAAUUUCAGAUAUGUUGAGGAUUCAUGAGGACAGACAACUGAAGAAUCGCAGCAUGAUUAGUCAGGAGCUAACAAGACAAAGCCUAGGUAAAAUUUAAACUUGAGAAGGAAAGUCUUAGGGACAGGCCGAUCUUGCCACCAGAGGACUGAGAGGAGGAAGGGGGAUGCUUACCGGCGAUGGGAACGGCCGUGACCUGGCAAAUAAGGAGAAGGAGGUGGAUGGCCGGGAGCUCGUGUAUAAGGGGAAGGCGAUACGGAUGGUGUCACGGCAGAGCGAGGCCGCGGGUAUGCAGCAGCAGCAGAUAGGGAAUAGUUUGGAGGAAGAGGCAGAGAUGGGGAGUGCAGCGCCACCAACCCAUACCACCCACUGCGGGUCAGUGUACAAAACAUACAGUAUACGACAGGAUUAGAGUAGGUAAAGAUCAUUUGUAAUAGGCAAGUUGCAUUACAAAACUAAUCGCCCGUUUCACGCGUGAGGACGUGGAACGAUGUGCAAUAUAUUCUAGAUAAGAUAAAAACAGCAGAACACUUACUAAUGCAAGUGAUCUGGCCAUUUGAUUAAAAGAAAAAAAUGACAAUAAUGUAAUUUGGCACCAUCUGCAGGUCUGGUCAGUCAAGAAAACAUAUACUAGUAAACAACAGGAUAAGACUACACCAUGUCCUGAAGAUAGGGAGGAAGUUUCCUUGGAUGCAUUGCCUUUUGAUGAAGGUAUUUUGGGCAUCUGAAAUCAGUGCCGCGAGUUUGCAACACUAGGGAUAAGAGUAACUGACCAGAAAUCUGUGAUCGCAGAUGAACUACUCUCUCUGUAAAGAAAUAUAAGAGUACAUAGUAAUCUAACUGAAGAGUACCACACUACCAGAAAAACUUCGUUUGCCGACGGCCAAAUCUAUGCCGACGGCACCCGUCGGCAUAAAUGCAGCUAUGCCGACGGCCAAGGGCAGGCCGUAGGCGUAGAAAAGCCGUCGGCAUAAAUCCAUAUAUGCCGACGGGGCCGUCGGCAUAUAUGAGGCCGUCGGGACCGCUCGAGGUAUGCCUACGGGGCCCGUCGGCAUAGGAGCGGCCGUCGGCAUAGCCCUUGCCGUCAGCGCUGACCGUUUGACGACGUUGAGCCUACGCCGACGGGUGGUAACGGCGGCCGUCGGCAUACCCGUGCCAGCCCUAUGCCGACGGCUGUGCCGUCGGCAUAGACCUGGCCCAUACCCCUCUGCCACGUCAUCGAUCCGUGGGACUGCACCUCCGUGUGUGCACAGAUAUGCCGACGGCCUAGCCGUCGGCAUACAUUUAUUUAGUUUUAUUUUAAAUUUCGCUUUAUACUACCUAUGGCAAAUAUAUGCCUACGGUAUAGCCGUCGGCAUAGGCCCAUCUGCCACGUCAUCGAUCCGUGUGCCUUGCCACGUCAUCGAUCCUAUGCCGACGGGGGCCGUCGGCAUAGGCCUGACCCGACGGCUAGUCAUGGCUAUGCCGACGGCCCUGGCCGUCGGCAUAGGGUGCGAUUCCGGUAGUGCCACAUUAAUUCCAAUUACAAUCUAGUAAAAAAUAAGACAUCAUCGAACUGGUCACGUACGACUUACUCAAGCUUACCAUUAGUAUCUUUCUACUAUAGUACUAUAUAUACAAAAAAUACACGAAGGAAAUAAUAUUUUCUAGAUAUUUUCCGUGAAAAUGUGUAGAUAUGAUCCUCAUGUUGAGUCUAAAUGUUAAAACAAUAUUGGCAAUCAAAGAUUAAUAUCUUUUUGAGUAUGUCGAAAACGCAUUAUUCCCUUGCUGCCUUGCUCUGAGUAUUCCCUAGCUAUGUUCUCAGCACAUGAUUGCUCAGUCCCUCAAUCUCAACAUGAACAUUAUUUAACGAGUUGCGUGAUCAUUCUUUUGUUAAAACAAAUGAACAUGUUUGCAUUAAUUAAAACAAUACACCAACAUACUAAGUGGUUAUGGGCGGUGGCGGUGAGAAAAUGACGGUGGUGGGAGCUGAAGCUGGAAGCACAUUGAUGAGCAUAUUUUCCCCUCAUUUUUAUCCAUGUUUAAACUGGAUAUUUCAAUUUUCUCCUUUCCGAACGCGGUCAGCACACUAGAUAUUGACCAUAGCAAGAGUGACUACAUAAGAAUAGAUUUCCUAUUUUCCCAAAAAAUAUCGAGCAAGCUCUUGCUCCAUUCAUAUGUAACAGCGUAUGCUAACUAAUGCAGUAAAGAGACUGCAGGAUCAUACAUUCGUUCUUUUUUCGAUGAAUACGCUUAGCAGCGUAUCAUUUCAUUGAUAGGUAGAAAUAGAGAAUUUUUGUACAGGUGGCAUCCUCACAGACGUACACCAACAUGCGUUUGGGAGGGUGCAUCAACCAGCAGGGGGGGAUGCUCAGCCUCCAUACAGAAGAUCAGGUUACAGGUAUGAUAGUAGCUAAACCCUUGGCGCCCGCCUUGACCCAGAGGCGAGCAUCUUUCUUGAUGGUUAGCACUCAGCUUGGACGUGGCGAGCAGGCUUUCAGCCAGGCUCGUGGCCCGAUAUGGACCGGACCGUACGGUCCUGGCCCGUUCAAGAAAAUGGUCGGUCCGGUUAUGAAAUAUCGGCCCGUAAAAGUCUCGGUCCGGUUCGGUUUUAGCUCGGUCCGGUUCGGUUAACCGAAAGAACGCAGCUCAAAAACAACUCAGCACACGAUUCCGCGAUGCGCGUAAUCGGCGUCUUUUUGUUUUCUUUCCUUUUUAUUCUGUCCGAUCCACACAUCUCGGAGAUCAUGAGCGGUUGUUACGCUACGCCACCCCACGAUCUGCCAUCUAACUGAAGAUCGAUCAGAGGCAGACCAAACUUGUACGUGGGCAUACCCAUGGGACGAGACUUGCCUGCGCCCCGGGCGCGCGCCCAUCUCUGCUCCCGCUUACGUGGCUUGAUUUGAUUGGGACAAAAUAAGGUCCGGGCCCACCCAUUAAAAUCAGGGGGGGAGGGUGAUUAGAUUAGGAAGCAAAAAGGGGAAAAACAGCCAUAGGAUGAAGUGGGAGCACGGAUGGGAGCAUGGGAGGGAGCAGGCAAGCCGGAUCCAUACCCAUGAUAAGCCCUAUUUAUUUGCAACAUGCAAAUUGUAAAGAUGAUUAAUAUGGCACAUGCAACAACCCUGUAAUGCAGAUUCCUUUCGGCUCAAUAGAGUUAACGUGACAGGAAUCAGAAUUAAUGUGUCAAAAAAUAGGAAGCAACGAGGCAACACCAUUAAUUGCAUAACACUAUGUCGCGAGUAACAGAGCUGUGGCGCAUGUAUAUGAGCGCUUGUGUCUGUACUGAUGUUCAAAAAAAAAAUAACAGAGCUGUGUGGCCGUGUCCAUUGGCUUCAUCCGCUCGGGGGCCUCCCAGAUGAAAGAACCCCAGCUACCCAUGGUAGGAAGAAAGAACUAGGGCACCAGCCAGAACGCACUGACUGUGAUGCAGCCGCUGCUACUCGAGGCGUCCCUGCGCUUCUUCUCAACGAGCUCGGAGAAGGCCAUGCCGAGCGUGGCGACGACAAGGCCUGCAGCUGUUUCCCCUCUCCUUCCUCUCCUUCCCAUACCCUGUAGACUCCCGUCGCCGUGUGCCGCCGCUCGCCGUCGCCGUGCGCCGUUCCGUAAUACAAGAUCCCGUGCCUAACUCAUUAGUCACAUUGCUUGCAAGCUUCUUGUGAUGUUGUAUUACCAAGUGGGCCCUGAGAUAUCUCUCCGUCAUACAGAGUGACAAAUCCCAGUCUUGAUCCAUGCCAAUUCAACCGACACCCUCGGAGGUACCUGUACAGCACCUUUAUAGUCACCCAGUUAUGUUGCGAUGUUUGGUACACACAAGAUACUCAUCCGGUGUCAGUGAGUUGCAUGAUCUCAUGGGCAUAGGAACGUAUACUUGACAUGCAGAAAACGAUAGCAAUAAACUUGACACGAUCAUAUGCUACAUUUAUAGUUUGGGUCUUGUCCAUCACAUCAUUCUCCUAAUGAUGUGAUCCUGUUAUCAAAUUACAACUCAUGUCUAUGGCUAGGAAACCAUAGCCAUCUUUGAUCAACAGGCUAGUCUAGUAGAGGCUCACUAGGGACAUGUUGUUGUCUAUGUAUCCACACAUGUAUCUGAGUUUCCGAUCAAUACAAUUCUAGUAUGGAUAAUAAACGAUCAUCAUAAACAGGGAAAUAUGAUAAUAACCAAUUUAUUAUUGCCUCUAGGGCAUAUUUCCAAUAGUCUCCCACUUGCACUAGAGUCAAUAAUCUAGUUCACAUCGCCAUGUGAUUAACACUCAUAGUUCACAUCGCCAUGUGACUAACACCCAAAGAGUUUACUAGAGUCGAUAAUCUAGUUCACAUCACCAUGUGAUUAACAAUCAAUGAGUUCCGGGGUUUGAUCAUGUUAUGCUUGUGAGAGAGGUUUUAGUCUACGGGUCUGGAACAUUCAGAUCAGCAUGUACUUCGCAAAUCUCUAUGUCAUAUUGUAGAUGCUGCUACCACGCUCCACUUGGAGCUAUUCCAAAUGGUUGCUCCACUAUACGUAUCUGGUUUGCUACUCAGAGUCAUCCGGAUAGGUGUUAAAGCUUGCAUCAACAUAACCCUUUACACCGAACUCUUUAUCACCUCCAUAACCGAAAAACAUUUCCUUAUUCCUCCAUGGAUAAUUUACUCAACUACACACCUUAAAACUCAGGCAAGAACUCCUUCUUUGACCGAUCCAUUUUGAACUCCUUCAAAAUCAUGUUGAGGUAUGUGCUCUGUGAAAGUCUUAUCAGGCGUCUUGAUCUAUCUCUAUAGAUCUUGUUGCCCAAUAUGUAAGCAGCUUUACCCAGGUCUUCCUUUGAAAAACCCUUUAUGCUUUUCAGAAAUUCAACAUUCUUUCCGAUCAACAAUAUGUCAUCCACAUAUACUUAUCAGAAAUGUUGUAGUGCUCCCACUCACUUUCUGGUAAAUACAAGUUUCUUGCAAACUUUGCACAAACCCAAAAGCUUUGAUCACCUCAUCAAAGCGUAUGAUCCAACUCCGAGAUGCUUGCUCCAGUCCAUAGAAGGAUCGCUAGAGCUUGCAUACCUUUUAGCAUCCUUAGGAUCGACAAAACCAUCUGUUGUAUCACAUACAACCUUUCCUCACGGAAACCGUCAAGGAAACUUUGUUUUGACAUCCAUCUGCCAGUUUUCGUAAUUGAAAAUGCAGCAACUACUAACAUAAUUCCAACAGACUUUUGUGUUGCUAUGAGUGAGAAAAUGUCAUCAUGGUCAACUCCUUGAACUUGUCGAAAACUUCUUUGCGACAAGUCGAGCUUCAUACAUGGUGACAUUACCAUCAGCGUCCAACUUCUUCUUAAAGAUCCAUUUAUUCUCAAUGGCUUGCUGGUCAUCGGGCAAGUCCACCAAAGUCCAUACUUUGUUCUCAUGCAUGGAUCCUAUCUCGGAUUUCAUGUCUCCUAGCAAUUUGUUGGAAUCUAGGCGCACCAUCGCUUCUCCAUAGCUCGUAGGUUCACCGUUGUCCAACAACAUGACCUCUAAUACAGGGUUACCAUACCACUCAAAAGUUGUACAUACCCUUGUCGACCUACGAGGUUCGACAGUAACUUGAUCCAAAGCGUCAUGAUCAUCAUCAUUAGUUUCUUCUUCAACUAACGUAGGUGCCACAGAAACAUCUUUUUGUGCUGCGCCACCCUCUGGUUGAAGUAAAGGUUCAACAAGCUCAUCAAGUUCUAUCUUCCCCCAACUCAAUUCUUUCGAGAGAAACUCUUUCUCGAGAAAGGACCCAUUCUUAGCGACAAACACGUUGCCCUCGGAUCUGAGAUAGAAGGUAUACCCAAUUGUCUCCUUUGGGUAUCCUAUGAAGACGCAUUUGUCCGCUUUGGGUUCAAGCUUUGCCGGCUGAAGCCUUUUGACAUAAGCAUCGCAACCCCAAACCUUAAGGAACGACAGCUUAGGUUUCUUGCCAAACCACAGUUCAUACGGUGUCGUAUCUACGAACUUAGAUGGUGCCCUAUUUAAAGUGAAUGCAACUAUCUCUAAUGCAUCACCCCAGAACGAGAGUGGCAGAUCGGAAAAGGACAUUAUAGAAUGCACGAUAUCCAAUAAGGUAUGAGUACGGCGUUCGGACACAUCAUUACGCUGUGGUGUUCCAGGUGGCGUCAACUGUGAAACGAUUCCAUAUUGUCUUAAGUGAUUGCCAAACUCAUAACUCAGGUAUUCUCCCCUUCGAUCAGAUCGUAGGACUUUAAUCUUCUUGUUAUGAUGAUUCUCAACUUCACUUUGAAAUUGCUUGAACUUUUCAAACAUUUCAGGCUUACGCUUCAAUAAGUAGACAUACCUAUAUCUAUUCAAAUCAUCGGUGAAGGUGACAAAGUAAUGAUAUCCACCGCGCGCGUCAACGCUCAUCGGACCGCACACAUCAGUAUGUAUGAUUUUCAACAAGUCACUUGCCCAUUCCAUUGUACCGGAAAAUGGGGUUUUGGUCAUCUUGCCCAUGAGGCAUGGUUCACAUGUGUCAAGUGAUUCAAAAUCAAGUGACUCCAAAAGUUCAUCAGCAUGGAGUUUCUUCAUGUGCUUUACACCAAUAUGACCUAAGCGGUAGUGCCACAAGAAAGUGGUACUAUCAUUACCAACUCUACAUCUUUUGGCAUCAAUAUUAUGAACAUGUGUAUCACUACGAUCGAGAUUCAAUAAACCAUUCACAUUGGGUGCAUGACCGUGGAAGGUAUUAUUCAUGUAAACAGAAUAACCAUUAUUCUCUGAGUUAAAUGAAUGACCGUAUUGCAAUAAACACGAUCUAAUGAUGUUCAUGCUCAACACAGACACCAAAUAACAUUUAUCUAGGUUCAACACUAAUCUCGAAGGUAGAGGGAGCGUGCGAUGGUGAUCACAUCAACCUUGGAAACACUUCCAACACAUCGUCACCUCGCCCUUAGCUAGUCUCCGUUUGUUCCGCAGCUUUUGUUUCGUGUUACCAAUAUUAGCAACUGAACCGGUAUCUCAUACUCAGGUCCUACUAGGAGUACUAGUAAGGUACACAUAAAAAACACGUAUAUCAAAUAUACUUUUGUUGAAGUUGCCAACCUUCUUAUCUACCAAGUAUUUGGGGUAGUUCCGCUACCAGUGAUCGUUCCCCUUACAACAUAAGCACUUAGUCUCGGGUUUGGGUUCAACCUUGGGUUCGUUCACUGGAGCGGCAACUGGCUUGUCAUUCAUGAAGUUUCCCUUCUUGCCCUUGCGCUUCUUUAAGUUAGUGGUAUUGUUAAUCAUCAACACUUGAUGCUCCUUCUUGAUUUCUACCUUCGCGGCCUUAAGCACCACAAACAUCUCCGGGAUCAUCUCCAUCCCUUACAUGUCAUAGUUCAUCACGAGGUUCUAGUAGAUUGGUGAUAGUGACUGGAGAACCCUAUCAAUCACUAUCUUAUCUGGCAGGUUAACUCCCACUUGAUUCAAGCGGUUGUAGCACCCAGACAUUCUGAGCACAUGCUCACUGGCUGAGCUAUUCUCCUCCAUCUUGUAGGCAAAGAACUUGUCAGAGGUCUCAUCACAGGCAUGAGCUUGAAACAUCAAUUUUAGCUCUUGGAACAUCUCAUAUGUUCCAUGGCGUUCAAAACGUCUUGAAGCCCCAAUUGUGAGCCGUAAAGCAUGGCACAGUAAACUAUGAAGUAGUCAUCCGAACGUGUCUGUUAGAUGUUCACAACAUCCAUAGACGACGCUAGAGGGGUUGGUACCCCGAGUGGUGCAUCAAGGACAUAAUCCUUCUGUGUAGCAGUGAGGACAAUCCUCAGACUACGGUCCUAGUCCGCAUAAUUUCUUACAAUAUCUUUCAACUUAGUCUUUCUCUAGGAACAUAUUAAAAUAGGGAGCUAUGGCGCGAGCUAUUGAUCUACAACAUAAUUUGCAAAGACAAUUUCAACUAUGUUCAUUACUUAAGAACUCCCACUCAAAUUGACAUCCCUCCGGUCGGCCGAGUGUAACAUGAUCCAAAUUCACCAACCCAAGUCCGAUCAUCACGUGAGAUGAGGUGGUUUCAAUGGUGAACAUCUCCAUGUUGAUCAUAUCUACUAUAUGACUCAUGUUCGACCUUUCGGUCUCUUGUGUUCCGAGGCCAUGUCUGUACAUGCUAGGCUCGUCAAGUUUAACCCAAGUGUUCCACAUGUGCAAAACUGGCUUGCACCCGUUGUAUGUGAGCGUAGAGACUAUCACACCCGAUCAUCACGUGGUGCUUCGAAAUGACGAACUUUCGCAAUGGUGCACACUUGGGGAGAACACAAUUUUAUCUUCAAAUUUUACUGAGGGAUCACCUUAUAAUACUACCGUCGUCCUAAGCAAAAUAAGAUGCAUAAAAGGAUUAACAUCACAUGCAAAUCAUAAGUGACAUGAUAUGGCCAUCAACUUGUGCUUUUGAUCUCCAUCUCCAAAGCACCGGCAUGAUCUCCAUCGUCACCGGCAUGGUACCAUGAUCUCCAUCAUCGUGUCGCCAUUGGGGUUGUCACGCAAACCAUGCUUCCACUACUAAUGCUACCGCUUCGCGAUAAAGUAAAGCAUUACAUAGCGCUUAAUGAUUGACACGCAGGUCAUACAAUAAUUAAAGACAACCCUAUGGCUCCUGCCGGUUGCCGUAUGCAUCGACAUGCAAGUCGAUAUAAACUAUUACAAACAUGAUCAUCUCAUACAUCAAAUAUAUUUCAUCAUAUCUUUGGCCAUAUCAUAUCACAACAUACCCUGCAAAAACAAGUUAGACGUCCUCUAAUUGUUGUUGCAUGUUUUACGUGGCUGCUAUGUGCAUCUAGCAAGAACGAUUCUUACCUACGCAAAGCCAUAACGGUGAUAUGCAAGUUGCUAUUUAACCUUCUACAAGGACCGCCUUUGUCGAAUCCGAUUCAACUAAGGUGGGAGAGACAGACACCCGCCAACCAUCUUUAUGCAACAAACUCACAUAUCUGUCGAUAGAACCGGUCUCAUGUACGUGGACAUGUAAAGUUGGUCCGGGCCGCUUCAUCCUACAAUAUCGCCGAAUCAAGAAAAGACCAAGGAAGGAAGCAAUCUGAAUAUCAAUGCCCACAAACUUCUUUGUGUUCUACUCGUGAUGUCAUCUACGCAUAGACCUAACUCUGAUACCACUGUUGGGGAACGUUGCAUGGGAAACAAAAAUUUUCCUACGCUCACCAAGAUCCAAUCUAGGAGAUGACCAUCUACGAGAGGAGAGAUUGGAUCUACAUACGCUUGUAGAUUGCUAAGCGGAAGCGUUAAGAAACGUGGUUGGUGUAGUUGAACGUCUUCUCGAUCCAAUCACGAUCCAUCCCGUGAACUCCCGAUCUAGCGCCGAUCGGACGGCACCUCUGUGUUCAACACACAUACGGCUUGAUGACGCCUCCACCUCCUUGAUCCAGCGAAUGAUUGUGAAGUAGUAGCUCGAGUCCUCUGGCAUCACGAUGGCGUGGUGGCUGUGGUGGUGGAGAAAUCUUAGCAGAGCUUCGCCAAGCACUACAGAGAAGAAGAUGGCUAUGAGGGAGAGGAAGGGCAGCGUCGUGGAACGAAUAGAUCUGUAUGGGUGCGGUUGCCCUCUCUCCCCUCCUCUAUAUAUAGGGGGAAGGGUGGAGGGAGGGGCGCCCCUAGAUCCAAUCUUGGGGGCGGCUACCUACAAGGGGAAACCCUAGAUGGGUUUUGCCCCCCCACCCCUUAGGAGACUUGGUCCCCAAGGCAAAGGGUGGGAAACCCUAGGGAGGCGCCCCACCUCCUCUGUCAAUGGGGGAAGGGGGCUUGGGGGCGCAUAGCCCCUUAAUGGGCUGUUGUGCCCCUCCCCUUGGCCCAGGAGGCCCCCCAACACUUGCCCCCCCCGAAACCCCUUUCGGUCAUGCUGGUCAUCACCCGGUACCCCUAGAACAAUUCCGGACUCCAAUACCCUUCGUCCAAUAUAUCAAUCUUCACCUCCGGACCAUUCCAGAGUUCCUCGUCAUGUCCGAGAUCUCAUCCGGGACUCCGAACAACCUUCAGUAACCACCAUAAUGACUCAACUAUACUUAUACCGUCACCAAACGUUAAGUGUGUGGACACUGCGGGUUCGAGAACUAUGCAGACAUGACCGAGACACCUCAACGGUAAAUAACUAAUAGAGGGACCUGGAUGCCCAUAUUGGUUCCUGCAUAUUCUCCCAAGAUCUUAUCGGUCGAACCUCGAUGCCAAGGAUUCAGCUAAUAAUCCCGUAUGCAGUUCCCUUUGUCUAUCUGUAUGUUACUUGCCCGAGAUUCGAUCGUCGGUAUCUCCAUACCUAGUUCAGUCUCGUUACCGGCAAGUCUUCUUUACUCCUUCCGUAAUACAAGAUCCCGUGGCUAACUCAUUACUCACAAUGCUUGCAAGCUUCUUGUGAUGUUGUAUUACCGAGUGGGCCCUGAGAUACCUCUCCGUCAUACGGAGUGACAAAUCCUAUUCUUGAUCCAUGCCAACUCAACAGACACCCUCGGAGAUACCUGUUGACGAUGUCCUGGACUAGGGGGUACUCACCACGUCGUCUCCCGGUCAGUUAGAUUGGGCCGAGGACCCCCAUGGCCGUAUACUCAUGGGCCAGUUCGGACAGCUUCCACAUACAAGGAAGAUUCCACAAGACUUGGUGAUCAAGACAAGGACUCCUCCCCACCGGCGUAUUCGGCUAGGACUCUUGUUAUCCUAGGCCUCUGGUGCAUUAUAUAAACCGAGGCCAGGCUAGUCGAUAGAGAUAUACAACAAUCAUAACCAUAGGCUAGCUUCUAGGGUUUAGCCUCUACGAUCUCGUGGUAGAUCAAUUCUUGUAAUACUCAUAUCAUCAAGAUCAAUCAAGCAGGAAGUAGGGUAUUACCUCCACUAGUAGAAAAAGAGGCUUCCAUACGCCCCCAUUAGUCCCCAAAAUAAUCGAACCGCGACAAAAGGGGUCUUUAGUCGCGGUUCGGGAGGAGACCCGCGACCAAAUAUCUGGGCCCAGCGCGCUCGGUCGACAGCUGGCGGACGGGAGGGGCUUUAGUCCCGGUUGGCCUGGCCAACCGGGACUAAAGGUCCCCGAAGGCCUUUAGUCGCGGUUGGCCAGGCCAACCGGGACUAAAGGCCCAUCCCUAUAUAUAGGACUCAGCUCACUUCACUUCACUCAGCUCACUUCACAAUAUUCAGAAGGGGGUGGUGGGUUUGCUUUUGGUUCCUCCUAUGCACACAAGGUGUUCGAUGAAAUGCCCGAGAGCCUGAAAAAAACAUGAUAUGAAGUGUCCGAGCCACACUUGAGCUUUCUCAUUUAUUUUUCCUCCGCGAUCGCGGUUAGCAACUUGAACCUUUCAUGUGUCAUUGAUAAAAUAUGCAUGUGUGUAGUUCAUUGUUUAAUUUGUAUUAUUUCUAGCUAGUUAGUUUAACAAAUGCAUGAUGGUUAAUUAUAUACUUUAUAUAAUAAUAAUGCAGAUGAAUCGGCAAUGGAUGUAUGGUCCCCGACUCUCCGGCGAGUUCACUACGGGUUUGAAAGAUUUCCUCGUAGUGGCAAAUGCGAACAAGCAGCAAGGUUUUAUUAUCUGUCCAUGUGCUGUCUGUAAGAAUCAGAAGGGUUACUCCUCCUCAAGAGACGUUCACAUGCACCUGCUUCGGCACGGUUUCAUGCGAAGCUAUAAUUGUUGGACCAAGCAUGGAGAAAGAGGGGUUAGAAUGGAAGAAGAUGAAGAAGGGGAUGAUAUCGAUGACAACUAUCAUGAUCAUUUCGGUGAUACUUUCAUGGAGGAUGAUGCUCAAGGUGGGGAAGGGUUAGGUGAAGGUGAAGAAGAGGCACAUGAUGAGCCCGCUGAUGAUCUUGGUCGGACCAUUGCUGAUGCACGGAGACGCUGCGAAACUGACAAGGAUAGGGAGAAUUUGGAUCGCAUGUUAGAGGAUCACAAAAAGUCGUUGUAUCCAGGAUGCGAUAAUAGUCUGAAAAAGCUGGGCUGCACACUGGAUUUGCUAAAAUGGAAGGCACAGGAAGGUGUAGGUGACUCAUCAUUUGAAAAUUUGCUGAAAAUGUUGAAGAAUAUGUUUCCGAAGAAUAACGAGUUGCCCGCCAGUACGUACGAAGCAAAGAAGGUUGUCUGCCCUCUAGGUUUAGAGGUUCUGAAGAUACAUGCAUGCAUUAACGACUGCAUCCUCUACCGCGGUGAAUACGAGAAUUUGAAUGAAUGCCCUGUAUGCACUGCAUUGAGUUAUAAGAUCAGAGGCGAUGACCCUGGUGACGAUGUUGAGGGCGAGAAACCCAGGAAGAGGGUUCCCGCCAAGGUGAUGUGGUAUGCUCCUAUAAUACCACGGUUGAAACGUCUGUUCAGGAACAAAAAGCAUGCCAAGUCGUUGCGAUGGCACAAAGAGGACCGUAAGUCCGACGGGGGGUUGAGACACACCGCUGAUGGAACGCAAUGGAGAAAGAUCGACAGAGUGUUCAAUGAUUUUGCAGCUGACGCAAGGAACAUAAGAUUUGGUCUAAGUACUGGUGGCAUGAAUCCUUUUGGCGAGCAGAGCUCCAGCCAUAGCACCUGGCCCGUGACUCUAUGCAUCUACAACCUUCCUCCUUGGUUGUGCAUGAAGCGGAAGUUCAUUAUGAUGCCAGUGCUCAUCCAAGGUCCAAAGCAACCAGGGAACGACAUCGUUGUGUACCUAAGGCUAUUAGUUGAUGAACUUUUACAGUUGUGGGCCAGACCUGGUGUACGUGUCUGGGAUGAGCACAAAGGAGAGGAAUUUGACCUACGAGCGUUGCUUUUUGUAACCAUCAACGAUUGGCCUGCUCUCAGUAACCUUUCGGGACAGACAAAUAAGGGAUACAAUGCAUGCACGCACUGCUUACAUGAGACUGAAAGUGUACGUUUGGUUAAUUGUAAGAAGAACGUGUACCUGGGUCAUCAUCGAUUUCUUCCCCGAAAUCAUAACGUAAGAAAGAAAGGCAAGCAUUUCAACGGCAAGGUAGAUCACCGGCCGAAGCCUGCGGAACGUACUGGUCCUGAGAUAUUUGAUAUGGUCAAGGAUUUGAAAGUCAUCUUUGGAAAGGGUCCUGGCGGACAAUCAGUUCCGCGGGGAGUUGACGGGCACGCACCCAUGUGGAAGAAGAAAUCUAUAUUUUGGGAGCUAGAAUAUUGGAAAGUCCUAGAUGUCUGCUCUGCAAUCGACGUGAUGCAUGUUACGAAGAAUAUUUGCGUGAACCUGCUAAGCUUCUUGGGCGUGUAUGGGAAGACAAAUGAUACAAAGGAAGCACGGCAGGACCAGCAACUUUUGAAAGACCCAGAUGACCGGCAUCUGGAAUGGUUUCAAGGUCGUGCCAGCUACGCUCUUACCAAAGAAGAGAAGGUCAUUUUUUUUUGAAUGCCUGAGCAGUAUGAAGGUCCCGUCUGGCUUCUCGUCGAAUAUAAAGGGAAUAAUAAACAUGGCAGAGACAAAGUUACAAAACCUGAAGUCUCACGACUGCCACGUGAUUAUGACGCAAUUGCUUCCGAUUGCUUUGAGGGGGCUCCUACCGGAAAAUGUUCGAGUAGCCAUUGUGAAGCUAUGUGCAUUCCUCAAUGCAAUCUCUCAGAAGGUAAUCAAUCCAGAAGAUCUACCAUGGUUACAGAACGAUGUGGUCCAAUGCCUUGUCAGUUUCGAGUUGGUGUUCCCACCGUCCUUCUUCGAUAUUAUGACGCACCUCCUGCUCCACCUAGUCGAAGAGAUUUCCAUUCUCGGUCCUGUAUUUCUACACAAUAUGUUCCCCCUUGAGAGGUUCAUGGGAGUAUUAAAGAAAUAUGUUCGUAACCGUGCUAGGCCAGAAGGAAGCAUCGUCACGGGCUAUGGAAAUGAGGAGGUAAUUGCGUUAUGUAUUGACUAUGUUCCUGACCUUAAGCGGUAUUCCUCAAUCGCGGCACGAGGGGAGACUAAGUGGAAAAGGCACGAUCGGAAGGAAAUCAACGAUAUGUAUGGACGGUCAUUCUAUGACUGAAGCACACCACACAGUUCUGCAAAAUUCCAGCUUGGUGGCUCCGUUCUUCGAGCAACACAAGAAUAUUUUACGCUCGGACAACCCGGGGAAGCCUGAAUCCUAGAUUAGAAAGGCCCACAUGGAGACUUUCGGCAGUUGGUUGCGAAAACAUUUAAUGAAUGACAAUGAUGUUGGAGAUCAGCUGUACAUGUUGGCCAAGAAACCAUCUUCGACUUUAACGAUUUUCCAAGGGUACGAGAUAAAUGGGAAUACAUUUUACACCAUCGCCCAAGAUAAAAAGAGCACCAACCAAAACAGUGGUGUCCGCUUUGAUGCAGCAACCGAGAAUGGGCAAAAGGUCACAUAUUAUGGUUACAUAGAGGAGAUAUGGGAACUUGACUAUGGACCCUCCAUUAAGGUCCCUUUGUUCCGGUGCAAAUGGUUCAAGCUAACAGGAGGUGGGGUAAAGGUGGAUGAGCAAUACGGAAUGACAAUGGUGGAUUUCAACAAUCUUGGUUACCUUGACGAACCAUUCGUCCUUGCCAAAGAUGUCGCUCAGGUUUUUUAUUUGAAGGACAUGAGUAGCAAACCGAGGAAACGGAAAGAUAAGAAAACGAUCAGUACAUCAUGCGAUGAUCCAAAGCGCCACAUUGUUCUUUCAGGGAAAAGAAACAUCGUGGGAGUGGAGGACAAGACAGACAUGUCAGAAGAUUAUAAUAUGUUUGGUGAAAUUCCGCCCUUCAAAGUGAACACUGACCCAAGCAUUAAGUUAAAUGAUGAGGAUGCUCCAUGGAUACGGCACAAUCGUAAGCAAGCAGGGACACAAGGGAAGAAUUGAUGUGUAAUAAUUUAUUNNNNNNNNNNNNNNNNNNNNNNNNNNNNNNNNNNNNNNNNNNNNNNNNNNNNNNNNNNNNNNNNNNNNNNNNNNNNNNNNNNNNNNNNNNNNNNNNNNNNNNNNNNNNNNNNNNNNNNNNNNNNNNNNNNNNNNNNNNNNNNNNNNNNNNNNNNNNNNNNNNNNNNNNNNNNNNNNNNNNNNNNNNNNNNNNNNNNNNNNNNNNNNNNNNNNNNNNNNNNNNNNNNNNNNNNNNNNNNNNNNNNNNNNNNNNNNNNNNNNNNNNNNNNNNNNNNNNNNNNNNNNNNNNNNNNNNNNNNNNNNNNNNNNNNNNNNNNNNNNNNNNNNNNNNNNNNNNNNNNNNNNNNNNNNNNNNNNNNNNNNNNNNNNNNNNNNNNNNNNNNNNNNNNNNNNNNNNNNNNNNNNNNNNNNNNNNNNNNNNNNNNNNNNNNNNNNNNNNNNNNNNNNNNNNNNNNNNNNNNNNNNNNNNNNNNNNNNNNNNNNNNNNNNNNNNNNNNNNNNNNNNNNNNNNNNNNNNNNNNNNNNNNNNNNNNNNNNNNNNNNNNNNNNNNNNNNNNNNNNNNNNNNNNNNNNNNNNNNNNNNNNNNNNNNNNNNNNNNNNNNNNNNNNNNNNNNNNNNNNNNNNNNNNNNNNNNNNNNNNNNNNNNNNNNNNNNNNNNNNNNNNNNNNNNNNNNNNNNNNNNNNNNNNNNNNNNNNNNNNNNNNNNNNNNNNNNNNNNNNNNNNNNNNNNNNNNNNNNNNNNNNNNNNNNNNNNNNNNNNNNNNNNNNNNNNNNNNNNNNNNNNNNNNNNNNNNNNNNNNNNNNNNNNNNNNNNNNNNNNNNNNNNNNNNNNNNNNNNNNNNNNNNNNNNNNNNNNNNNNNNNNNNNNNNNNNNNNNNNNNNNNNNNNNNNNNNNNNNNNNNNNNNNNNNNNNNNNNNNNNNNNNNNNNNNNNNNNNNNNNNNNNNNNNNNNNNNNNNNNNNNNNNNNNNNNNNNNNNNNNNNNNNNNNNNNNNNNNNNNNNNNNNNNNNNNNNNNNNNNNNNNNNNNNNNNNNNNNNNNNNNNNNNNNNNNNNNNNNNNNNNNNNNNNNNNNNNNNNNNNNNNNNNNNNNNNNNNNNNNNNNNNNNNNNNNNNNNNNNNNNNNNNNNNNNNNNNNNNNNNNNNNNNNNNNNNNNNNNNNNNNNNNNNNNNNNNNNNNNNNNNNNNNNNNNNNNNNNNNNNNNNNNNNNNNNNNNNNNNNNNNNNNNNNNNNNNNNNNNNNNNNNNNNNNNNNNNNNNNNNNNNNNNNNNNNNNNNNNNNNNNNNNNNNNNNNNNNNNNNNNNNNNNNNNNNNNNNNNNNNNNNNNNNNNNNNNNNNNNNNNNNNNNNNNNNNNNNNNNNNNNNNNNNNNNNNNNNNNNNNNNNNNNNNNNNNNNNNNNNNNNNNNNNNNNNNNNNNNNNNNNNNNNNNNNNNNNNNNNNNNNNNNNNNNNNNNNNNNNNNNNNNNNNNNNNNNNNNNNNNNNNNNNNNNNNNNNNNNNNNNNNNNNNNNNNNNNNNNNNNNNNNNNNNNNNNNNNNNNNNNNNNNNNNNNNNNNNNNNNNNNNNNNNNNNNNNNNNNNNNNNNNNNNNNNNNNNNNNNNNNNNNNNNNNNNNNNNNNNNNNNNNNNNNCGCCCGCCGCCGCCUGCCUGCCGUCCUCCGCCUCCCGCCGCCGCCUGCCGUCCUCCGCCUCCCGCCGCCGCCGCCACAAACGAAGGAAAAAUGUUGACCAUGUGUUCAAAAAAUAUUAAAAUGUGUUUGGAAGAUGUUAAACAUGUAUUAGGAAAAUGUUAAACAUGUAUUAGUGUACAGUGUGUAUGAAAAAAACCCAUACAUCCAAAAAAAUAAGUUUUCAAAAAAACUUAAUCAUGUGUUUAAAAAAUGUUAAAUGUAUAUAUAAAAAUCUUUCUGAUGUAUAAGAAAAAGGUUGAAAAAGUUAACACGUGUUGAAGCAAAAAAGAAACCGAUAAAAUCGACAAAAGAUAAGGAAUAACAAAGAAACCCAAUGAAAACCAAAAAGAAAAACAAAGAAAACAAAACAAAAGAAACCAAUGCAAAGGAAUGAAAUCAAGAAAAUCGAGAAAGAAACAAAGAAAACCAAGAAAAACAAAAUAAGAAAAGGAAAAAGAAAAGGAAGAAGAAAAGGAAGAAGAAAAGGAANNNNNNNNNNNNNNNNNNNNNNNNNNNNNNNNNNNNNNNNNNNNNNNNNNNNNNNNNNNNNNNNNNNNNNNNNNNNNNNNNNNNNNNNNNNNNNNNNNNNNNNNNNNNNNNNNNNNNNNNNNNNNNNNNNNNNNNNNNNNNNNNNNNNNNNNNNNNNAACGAAGGAAAAAUGUUGACCAUGUGUUCAAAAAAUAUUAAAAUGUGUUUGGAAGAUGUUAAACAUGUAUUAGGAAAAUGUUAAACAUGUAUUGGGAAAAUGUAUUAGAUAUAUGCCAAAAAUGUACAGUGUGUAUGAAAAAAACCCAUACAUCCAAAAAAAAUAAGUUUUCAAAAAAACUUAAUCAUGUGUUUAAAAAAUGUUAAAUGUAUAUAUAAAAAUCUUUCUGAUGUAUAAGAAAAAGGUUGAAAAAGUUAACACGUGUUGAAGCAAAAAGAAACCGAUAAAAUCGACAAAAGAUAAGGAAUAAUAAAGAAACCCAAUGAAAACCAAAAAGAAAAACAAAGAAAACAAAACAAAAGAAACCAAUGCAAAGGAAUGAAAUCAAGAAAAUCGAGAAAGAAACAAAGAAAACCAAUGAAAAACAAAAUAAGAAAAGGAAAAAGAAAAGGAAGAAGAAAAGGAAAAAAGAAAAGGAAGAAGAAAAGGAAGANNNNNNNNNNAUGAAAUCAAGAAAAUCGAGAAAGAAACAAAGAAAACCAAUGAAAACCAAGAAAAACAAAAUAAGAAAAGGAAAAAGAAAAGGAAGAAGAAAAGGAAGAAGAAAAGGAAAAAGAAAAGGAAGAAGAAAAGGAAAAAGAAAAGGAAGAAGAAAAGGAAAAACAAAAUAAGAAAAGGAAGAAGAAAAGGAAAAAGAAAAGGAAGAAGAAAAGGAAGAAGAAAAGGAAAAACAAAAUACUUGGCAGUGCUCAAUAAUCUUAUUUUUUAAUUCCUCCUCCUCUAUGUGCCCUUAAUGUUAUUUUUUAAUUCAUUUAUACUUAAUUAAUUUUUACUACAUGCAGGAGUGACAUAUGGCGGACGAUAGAGCCGAGCCGCUUAGGGAUCCGGAGGCUGAACGUUAUUUAAUGGGCAUCAUAAACAACGAGAUUCCUUAUGUGCCGGGCUCAGAAUAUGAGCAAGAAGAGGAUGUAGUCUCUUCUUUUCUGAACCUUGACGGUGGAACAGACAUUGUCGAUGAUCAAGAAGGUGAAGGAACGGACAUUGUCGACGGAGGUCAACCGUCAACAAACGACGAUCUCGAAUUGCAAGUAGCAACCACCUCCGGCGAGGUAUAUAUAUACAUUGAGCCUCUCGUGAUACAAACUUACUAAAAUGUGAAUACAUAUGUAUUAACGCGCGCGACUCUCUUUCUUUUUUUAGCCCUCGGCCGGAUCGAGUACGACAAAGCGUGGCAAAUCCAAGGCAAUGAAAACAGGAGAAACAUAUGCCAUUGAGUUUGUCAGUGAAACCGGCAAGCCCCUACAGCACACCUCAAAGUUUAUCAACCAAUGCGGAGUCGUUGUUAGAGACAACGUCCCGAUCACCGUCCAGGAAUGGAAGGAGCCAAAGAAGGCACGUCUUGGUUUCAGUUUUGUCGACAAGAGAACGAAAAAGGAUUGCUGGAGAAAGCUUAUGGAACAUUUCAUUUUACCUCCGGAAUACAACAAAGUCGAUGAAUUCGGUAACGAGGUUCCGGGUGGACGUGAGAGGAGGAGGCUAGUUAAAGAGUUCGCUCUUCAGAAGAUGGGCGAAGCAUUCCGGAACUUCAAGAAAAAUUUAACCCGUGACUAUGUCAACAAGGGCAAGACUCCGGAUUUCAAUGGACAACAUGAGAAACUGAAAGAUGAUUGGCCGGAAUUUGUGAGGCAAAAGAAAUCGGAGCAUUUCAAGGAAAUAUCGAAAAAAAUAAGGAUAAUGCGAGUAAGAAAAAGUUCCAUCAUAUUAUGGGGCCAGGAGGAUACCGCCUUUCGGAGCCUAAGUGGCAGAAGAUGGAGGAGGACCUGAGGGUGCGAGGAAUCCCUCUAGGUACAGAGGGAUGGGACCCAAGGGCCAAAAGCUGGUGGUACGGGCAUGGGGGAUCGCUAGACCCGGAGACAGGGGUGUGUGUUCACCGGAAGAAAAAGUUUGCUCCCACCCAAGCCCUUAUUGACGCAAUGACCCAAGCUCAAGAGGGCUUGAUCAAGUUCAACAGAGAGAAAGACGCACUGACAACAGCCCUCGGGAAUGAUGAACACGGAGGACGUGUACGAGGCAAAGGCAAAGUUCCGUGGAAAGUAGGGUUUUCCCAGGACAAUGACCCGUACUGUUACAGAAGUCGUAAGAGAAAGACGGACCGGGAUGCAGAUCUUAUGGCGAAGUUUGCAUCGGAACUCCAUGAGUUGAAGCAGACCGUGCAUGAACUAGUAAAAGAAAAAUCGGCUGCAGGGCCGCAUGAAGAUCAUGAAGCGGAUCGCGGAAGCCAGCAGCGGAGAAGCAGCGUGGCUUCCACGGAUGCCCCGCCUGGUGCUAGUGCACCGAUGAUCGAGAUUCGUGCACCGGAGCCUCACUACCCCGUGGAUGAUGUAAAGGAGAUGAAAGAAUGUGAUCUGCAUUAUCCCGUGGGGAACGUUUCCACGAAGGUAGCUAGCGGCAGUGCUUUACCCUGUACACCUGGAGCACUCCACCACAACAACCCCAUUGCAUAUGGCUAUGCUCGUGUCACGGUGGAAGACAUAGUCCAAGGGUUUGAGGACCUGGAGAUUGACAAAGCUACACCCGAAGGGGAGAGAAGACUUGGAGAUGUCAAGCGCCAGAUCAUUCUAUGGAAAAAGAAGUACAUAUUGUUUCCAGGCGAGGCGCCAAGGCUAACAAGUCCACCCCCCUCCGAUGGUGGUGGUGGUGGUGGUGGUGGCGGUGGUGGUGAUCGUGGUGGUUCACCUACACCUCCUUCACGCCAUUCGACGCCGUCCCCCGAUCCACAACCUCCGGCGGGUACGACGCCCCCCAAUCCUCCUCCGGCGGGUACGACGCCCCCCAAUCCACCUCCGGCGAAGAAGCAGAAGCAGGCGGACAGCAAGGAAACCCGCUCCUGGACUAUUAACCCGGACCCUUAUGUACCUAAGACCACAAGGGUACCGGAGCCAUCACUGAAGCCUCUCCUCCCAAGGCCUUGGGAACUUAGUGAAGCUGAAACCAAAUUGGCCGCGUCUGCUCAUUAUGAGAAAUGGAAGGCGGAUAUGAAGGCGAUAAAAGAGCCUGAGCCCAAGCAAGUAUUCACUGAGAAGCAAAAGAAGUGGGCUAAGGAUUUUUUGACGACACCGUCCCAAGCCGAGCUGAAUAUGCCUGACGACUAUGGACAUGAACUUCGUAGGCAAGGAAAAAUAUUGAAGGAGGAGAAAGAAGAAAGUAAAAAAAGCGGGAAACAAGUUGACCAGCUCGGGAUGCAGAAUAAACAAUCGAUCCCCCCGCUCAUAGUGAAAGCCGGUCCGGAAGAGGACCCCAAGAUCAUAGCAGCUGCGGCAGCACUUGGAUUGAUUGUAGCGAGUGCCAUGAAACAAGCGUCCGAGAUGGGUUUGACUCUUCGUGCCUUCUUAGGCCUUGAGGAUGCGCCAGUAUGUGAGAUAGCAUUACAAUAUGUGCGGAAUGGGCCUCUCGUCGAGCCUGCGCGGGAAAAGAGUCUACCACCACAAAUGCGAAAUCUGCUACGUUGGUACAAGCAAUUCAUAACAUGGGCCGACAAAGAAUAUAUUUAUGCGGAUGUUACAGAGGAGCAUCACACCAAACGGUACUCUGUACAAGUUCAUAUGAGUGAAUUGUUCCAGCUGUUCAAUCUGCGAGAGCUCGACAAAUCUAUCCUGAGUUGCUACGUUCUGUAAGUGAUUUAUUUCUACCUCAUCUCGUUCUUCAUUGCCUGCACUAUAUAUAUAUAUAUAUAUAUAUAUUGUCCUAACUAUAUUGAUGCGUACGCUAUUAUGCAGAUUGAAGAUUUGGGAAUGCAAAAUAAGAAACAUCCAUGAUGUUGGGCUCAUUGACCCACAUAUCGUUAAUGGACAUGUGUUACAAAAUCACCCCGAAGACGUGGAGAAAGACUUGUACAAGUUUCUUAGAAAGCAUCAACUCAAAAGUCAUAUUCUAUUUCCUUACCAUUUUGGGUGAGUGUUUCUCUCUUGUGCCCAUUCUCUUUUGUUUACUCCAUGCAUGGUAUGUCUAAUCGAUGAGUUAUGCAUGACUGUGCAUGUAACGUGUCCGCAGGUUCCACUGGAUUCUGCUAAAUAUUGAACUUCACACCUCCAGAGUUCUAAUCAUGGACUCUAUGGAUUCGGAUCCAAAGCGUUGGGCCGACAUGAGAAAAAUGCUGCAAAAGUAAUUAUUUUCAAUCAUUUGAGCUCUAUAUCGAUCGGUCUCUUUCGUUCAUUUCCUAAUAUCAAGUAACUAAUAACUCCCUUGUCCAUUUAAUUUUCUUUGCCCUGUAGGGUUUGGAGACGGUUCUCAGAAGAAAUUGUCGGUGAAUUCAAACAUGAGCUAGAUUUUAGAAGGUUAGUUAAUGUGGAUAAGCAGCCAUCGGGGACCAAUCUAUGUGGAUACUAUGUUUGUGAGAACAUCCGGAGACACACCUCUGAGCGGAAGGCAUCGGAUAGCGUGCGGAAGGCGACUGAUAACUUGCGGAGGAGGCUUAGUCCAGAAGCUCGCUUCCGACCAAUUCAAGAUGAAUUAGCAGGAUUUUUCAUGAGGGAAGUCAUCAAUCCUAAAGGAGAACACUAUACCGAGGACGAAGAAAUUUAUAUGCAUACCCGAGAUUGAAACUUGUUCGAAGUUGUAUAUCGUCAUCCAUCCUAAUUGUGUAUGGAAACUUGUUCGAAGUUGUAUAUGGUCACCCGAGAUUGAAUAUAUAUUAUAUAUUCCUCUUGAAUUCUUCUUGUUUGAAAUUUCAUAUGCAUGUAUAUAGUAGCGUAGAAUAUGUGUACUGAAACUUCAUCAAAAUUAAAAUAAAACACAAAAUAAAAUAUAAAAGAAAUAAAACACUACAAAUUAAAAAGAAACCAUGUUUAGGGGGGCUAAAACCCUAAACCUGGGGAGGAGGCCUUUAGUCCCGGUUAGCCACGAGAACCGGGACUAAAGGUCCUCCGCCCCGACGGACCCCUGGCGCCCACGUGGACGGGCCUUUAGUCCCGGUUAGCCACGAGAACCGGGACUAAAGGUCCUCCGCCCCGACGGACCCCUGGCGCCCACGUGGACGGGCCUUUAGUCGCGCAUAUUUAGUCCCGGUUGCACAGCCGGGACUAAAGGCCUUUGCGAACCGAACUAAAGGCCCAUUUUCUACCAGUGCUCCAUCGAGAGGGACCGAACCUGGGUAAACAUUGUGUCCCCCGCCUCCUGUUACCAUUAGCCUUAGACGCACAGUUCGGGACCCCCUACCCGAGAUCUGCCGGUUUUUACACCGACAUUGGUGCUUUCAUUGAGAGUUCCACUGUGUCAUCACGAUAAGGCUUGAUGGAUCCUUCAAUCAUCUGCAACAAUGCGAUCCAGGGUGAGGUUUUCCUCCCCGGACAGAUCUUCGUAUUCGGCGGCUUCGUACUGCGGGCCAACUCGCUUGGCCAUCCGGAGCAGAUCGAUAGCUACGCCCCUGGUCAUCAGGUUAGGUUUGGAAGCCUGAACUACACCGCCGACAUCCGCGUAGACUUGAUCUUCGACCGAUUCGAGCCCAUGACAGGUGUGCCGAACAAUCACGAGGAGCAUGACUUAGAUGAGAUCACACCUACGGUUGCCCUGGCUCUUAAUCCGGAGCGCAUCGUGCCAUCCGAGGACGAGUGGAUGGACCCCUCCACGGAGGCCGCACACUUAGCGGCGAUAGAGCCGAACACAGACUUCGCCUCCAAUGAGGUAUGUGUCAUCGGACCCUCGGACUCGUCUCCGGCCAUAGGCUCCGAACCGCGUGCAUCUGUGCCUAUAGAAUCUGAUUGGGCACCGAUCAUGGAGUUUACCUCCGCGGAUAUCUUUCCGCACUCGCCCUUGGGCGACGUGCUAAAUUCAUCGAAAUCUCUCUCCCUGUCAGGAGACUCGCGGCCGAACUAUGUCCGGCUCGAGUGGGAAGCGGACGACGAAGAAAUUCGUUCCCCACCCACCACCCACUUAAUAGCCAUUGUCGAUGACUUAACCGACAUGCUUGACUUCGACUCCGAAGACAUCGAUGGUAUGGACGACGAUGCAGGAGAAGAACAGGAACCACCGCCCACAGGGCGCCGUGAAGAUCACUUUUCAGAUAUGUUUCCUGCUCAAAUACGGAUCCGACCCGAAUUCGUGUUUCUUUAUGAACGUGAUAUUGGACAACCUUUUUAAAGGAAUUUUAUUCUAAGGUACCGUGCGUUGUUCUUAACACGUGCCCAUAAAAUUUUAAGCCUCCUUUGAGGUAAUCUUCGCCAUCACGCUGGUGUCAAACCAGUCCGGCAAUAUAGCUCCAUGGCUGCCGACCUGCGCUAGACAUGUCGUCGCUUUUUGAGUCGAGCUCAACUUCU
rnacentral:lncRNA from 1 species